CUUUAUUGAACGAUGGGGUCUCAAAUGGGCUGCCUCUUUGCCACUCUUUUGGUAGUAUCAGUCUCUCUUAGCUACUUGCCGUUAGAAGCCUCCGCAAACAAAUACUACUACACAUCUCCUCCCCCUCCCAAGUACAAGUCUCCACCACCACCCCCGCCACCGGUUCACAAUUCUCCACCACCACCCCCGGUUUACCUGCCCCCGCCACCUCCUCCACCAGUCUACGUGCCUGCUCCGGCACCAACUCCAAUUUUCCCUUCUCCGCCACCUCCUGUCCCCAAGUCCCCACCACCACCUCACCCUUACGUCUAUGCAUCUCCCCCUCCUCCUUACUACUACUAGAAAGCGGCCAUGAAUAGCUCAUGCUUUUAUGGUAAUCUCAUUUAUUUUUAAAACUGUACAUGUAAAGACUAGUAGUUCAGAAUUACAUUAAGCAUUUCAAUUUUAAGCACCGUGUUCUGUUUAAUUGCGUUCCUAUUGAUUAAGUGACAAAUAAAAGAGAUUGAUUAAUUUGUUCUUGUAGGAGAGGCGAAUGGUAUCCGAAUAAAGAAAGCAAGGGUUUGAUGGAAGGCUUACUUGGAGCAAGAUAGCGAUCAAUCGAGUUGCUGCGUUUUAUUCUCUUUUAUCUUUGUUUUUUAAGAAAAAUAAACUGCCACACGUAGAAACAGAAAAUUAAGUUCUUGUCAUUUUCAUGCAUAUGGAUUGUUGCUGUGUGUGUCAAUCAAAUCUCCGUUGUGUCAUUUGUAAUUUUCAACCUUUAUGCAUGCAAAUGCGAGACCUCUUACGUAUAAUAAAAUUAAUAUACUUCCCAAGAUGGUCUUAUCUUGCGUUGACUUUUUACGUUCCUUUGGUGAUGAUUUUGACGUUUGAAAUUGAUGACUAAUUGACUAUUGUUUUUGUAAACUCUGACAUGGAUUUUUCGUGCAACUACAGAGCGCAUUAACGAGAGACUUAUCCAUGAGGGUCCAUGCAGAUCAGUGUCUAAUUAACCAAUAAUUAAUAUAACUAAAAAAAUAUAGAGUUAACUAUUUUUAUGGGUCAGGCUCAAUUGCAGAUGUUCGUACAAAAUUUCUUGCUAAUGUAUACUUGAGUAUGAUAAUAAGUUUUAAUCAUUAUUAAUAAUUCACUUGAUAAUAUUAAACAAAUUUUCAUAUCAAUUAAGUUACAAAAUUUCUGUGACAAAUUUCCGCGUACUGGAACCAUGCAAAAGGGCUUUAUUCAAACAAAACUGCAUAGCCGUUGGCAAUUAAAAUUAUUUAUCAAUUAAGUUAAGUAGUAAGAAUUGGAUUGUGGAUUCCAUUAAUUAUUUCAAGGAAAAUUUUAUAGAUAAUGCCGUAAUGAAAUUUACGGCAUCAAUACCAUGAUAAAUAUAAAUAUUGUAAAUUACAAAUAGAAUUAGUAAAUGUAAAGUAAAACCAGUAAAUUCAUAAAAGAUUAUUAAUUAUUUAAAAAAUUAACAUUGUUUCUACAUAAUUUUAGUGAAAAAUAUUUUAUUCAUUUACAAAAACAUUUCUUUAAUUAAACAAAAAAAUUCAUUAAUUAAGCAAAAAAAUUAUACUGAAAAAAAAGUGGAAUAAGUUUAAUUGAAUUGGUUAUCAUAAAUUCUAUAUUUAGUCUAGGACAUUUUUAUACAUUUUCUUCCCAUUUUCGAUAAUGAUAUCUAUUUGUUACACAUGUUAAUUAAGUGCAAUUAUUUAUCUUGAUGUGGAUCAAGUAAAAAAAUAUCAUAAAUAAGAUAUCAAUAAAAUUAGAUCUAAUUUUGAAUAUUAUGUAUACUUUAUGUAGUUUCAAACUUUUUACUUGUAUUUGGAGACCAUUUAAGGUUGUUGUUGAAGAAGUGUAGAAAGAUGUAAAAUAACUUCAUCUUACAACAACUAUGAAAGAUAUUAAAAUAAUAAUUUUUUCAAAAUCCGAUUUUGAGAAAAAAAUUCAUCCUUAAUUAAACAUCACAUGUAUUAUAGAAAUGCAAAACUACCAUUGUUAUAUUUAACUUAAAAAAUAAUAAAUAUAUAAGGUAAUAAACAUUAUAAAGAGUUUUUAUUUUAAAAUUGUAAACUUUUGUUUCUGACAAUAACUCUUAUAUUAAUUUAUUUAUUUUGCCUUUUAUUCAUAAGUUUUAUGCAUAAUUUACAAACUUUAAGUUUUAUUUUGCAUUUUAUGUUGAUUUGGUUUUUUUAUAUUAUACGUACAAGUUUUCUUUUUAUUUACCAGUAAUACAUCAAUUUAUCAGCUUGAUAGUAAUUUACUUAUUUUACCUUCCUUUUACAAUUCUUAUGUUUCAUUUCCAAAAUUUAUGUUUUAUUUUACAGUUGUUGAUGAUUUACUAGUUUUAUGUUAUGUUUGCAAGUUUUUGUUUUGUUUACUAGUAAUAGAUUAAUGGGUAAUUUUUAAUUGAGUCCUCAUUAGUUCUAGAAAAACAAUUCAGAGACCAGAAGUUUACUAAAUGAAUCAAUUAAAUUCUUUCAAGUACAAACUAAUGUCAUUCAAGUCCUUAACUUAAUUGGUCAGUUAAAAAUAUUAACAACGUUGAGGACAUUUUAGUAAAACAACAAUUGAGUCGUUUCUCAUUCUUUAUUUUUGACAGGUGGAAAUAGUUUAAAGUAAACUCACUUAACCUGAUUAAGUUAAGGAUCAGUUCUUUCAAAUGAAAAAAAAAAAAAAAACCUACAGAAACUGCCAUAUUCUUCGUGUGGGAGGAGAGAUCGAGAGAACGUGGGAUGGUGCAAAAAAUGUUGUAUAAAUCUACUGUGAUUUUGACCAAAGCUUUGGUAGCAUUGAUUGAGUUCAAGUACUGGAGAGAACCUGAGUUUAAAGGUUAGUAACUCUAUUUUUUUAGUGAUUUCUGCAAGCAUUUUCUGAUAAAAAAUUUUCCGUAUUGAGUGAUCGUUGUGAAAAAUUAAGUUUUUCAAGUCUAUUUUACAAAAUGACAAACUAUGUUUAAUUAUUGAUGGAUUCUUUUUUUUGUUCAAUGUUGUAUUUUGUUAAUUUGUUGUUUUUAAUUUGCUCUUAAUGUAAUUGUUAGACCAAAUACACCAUUAUUAUACCUGUAUUCAUUUCAACAAUUUGGUAUCGUUAUAUUAAUAAGAUUGAAUUCAUUGUAUUUGCUUCUUUGUUCAUGUAAAAUUGAAUUCUAUGUAUUCUUAUGAGUGAUAAUUUUUCUAUCUAUUAGACUAAAUUCACUAUAUUCACUACUUUCUUUCUUUUUGCUGGGCUAUUUUUUCUUUUUAGUUUAUAUUUUUUAUAUGUAUUAGAUUGAAUUUGCUUUUGUACGUUUUUUUUAGCCGAAUUACAUGUAUAUUUCAUUUAGGUUGAGUUUUUUUUGUUGUUUGCUAAAUAAAAUUAUAUUGGUUUAUCCCUUUUUUAUGCAAUACUUUUUGUUUAAAAUUAAUACAGUUAGCCAUGUUACCUUUUUUUUCGGUUAAAAUUAAUGGGGUGAUGUAGGCGAUAGGAUAUAGGGAACCAGAGGAAUAUAAGAUUAUUAGGCUGUUUCUUGAAAUUCAAGAUGUCAUGGUUAAGCAUGGACACAGUGAAAUGGAUUUGAUUGAAAUUUUUGUUGUAUUGCCAUGGACUACAAGUGGCCAGAGGAAGCUAAUUUCAAACGAUAGUGAAUUGUAUUGGGUUUUCGAGGAGUUUUUUUUAAUCAAUAGUUGUCCUGUCAUUGAGUUUGAGGUGCACACUGGGUCAGGUGGUCAGUCAUUUCAUGAAAGUGUUGUAAUAGGACCUGAAAAUCCUGUCAAUAUUAAAAAUUAGUGUUGUAAUAGUGAUAAGUUUGAAAAUGUUGUGGCUAAAAAGGUCUGCCUAGAAUAAUUGGUACUUCUUUAUUUGCCUCAAAGUCCAACACUAUGAAAUCCACAAGGAAAAAGAAUUUAUCCACUUUAACCAGCACGUCUUCAAUCUUGCCUUCAGGAUAAGCAUGAGAUCUGGCAGCACAUUGCAAUGUCACUGUGGUUGGUUUGACUUCUCCAACUCCCAAUUGCUUGAAUUCUGAUAAUGUCAUAAGAUUGAUGCUUGCUCCCAAACCACAAAGUGUCUUGCCACUGUAUUUAGUUCCUAUGGAACAAUGAAUUGUGAAACUUCCUGGAUCCUUCAACUUCUGAGGCAUUUUACUCUGAAGCAUAUGGCUGCAUUCUUGUGUUAGACCAACUAUUUCAAAUUCUCCGAGCCUCAUUUUCCUUGCCAAUAUACAUUUCCAAAACUUUACAUAAUUUGGCAUUUGUUCUAAUGCUUCCACAAAAGAAAUGUUGAUAUGCAGUUCUUUCCAUACUUCCAAGAAUUUACUGAACUGCAUGUCUUGCUUUCGCUUUUGAAAUCUUUGUGGGAAGGGUGGUGGAUGUGUAAAUUGUUGUACUGCAGCAGACUAUACAUAUUGCUUUUCUCUUGCUCUAUUAUGGUAUGUUAUUAUUGGUGUUGCAGCUUCUUCCUCAACAAGCAUUGAAUCAUGUUUUUUUGCAGUUGCUAUAACUUAGCAACUCUCACCAGUGUGCUGGAAAAUGGGUUGUUGUGUCUCUUCUUUAAUUUGAGUUUCCCCUUGGGUUGAAUUAGGUUCCACUCUUCUUUUUGGUACUUUAACAAGUAUAUGAACAUCCUUUCCAAACCUUAAGUUAAUCCCCUUACAAUGCUCUUUUCCUUCUCUCUUUCGAUCCUCUGUAUUGUUUAGUAAAUUGUCCUGAGGUAUGUUGCUCAAUUUUGUAGCAAGCUGUCCAAUCUUAUUCUCCAAGUUUCUUAAAAAUACAGCUUGGCUUUAGACCACUACUCCAAUCUUUACAAUAUACUCCUUAAUCAGAGUUUCAAUGGAACUAAAUUGAUCAUUACUGGUGUUUCUUUACCCUUCAAAUUUCUGGUGAAAAUCAGGUGGCUGAGCAAGUCUGUUCUGUCCACUGGAUGCUGCAGCAUGCUGAUUCUGAUUGCUCCUUUUAAAAUUUGGGUGAUGUCUCCAUCCUAGGUUAUAGGUGUUUGAAAAUGGAUUGCUUUGAUUUUGUUUAUUAAAAUUGCCCACAUAAUUGACGGAAGCUGAAUUCCUAGGACAAUUAUGAUAUAGAUGUCCCUCUCCAUAAUAAACACAAGAGACUUCAGCAAUUUGGUUAACUGUUGCCGGAGCAGUGGCCGUUGCUUUUACCAUAUUUGUCAAUGAGGUUACUUGGGCUGAUAAUGUUGUCAGUGCAUCCACAUUGUGUACUCCUGCUGCUCCUCUCACUGUGGCUUGUCUAGUUGAUGGCCAUUGAUAGUUAUCCUUUCUAAAAUUUCAUAAGCCUCAUUAUAUGAGUUAGACAAUAAAGCCCCUAGUUAUUGAGUUCAACCCAUUGUAGAAAGUUUCCAAUUGUAUGCAAUAAGGAAUACCAUGAUGAGGGCAUCUCCUGAGUAACCCCUUGAAUCUUUCUCAUGCAUCAUACAAGCUUUCAUCUUCAAGUUGAUGGAAAGAUGUGAUCUCAUUCUUCAACUUUGCAUUCUUUGUUGGUGGGAAAUAUUUCAUCAAAAGUUUGUCAGCCAAAUAAUUCCAUGUGGUGAUGGAGUCUGGUUGCAAAGAACUCCACUGUACCAACUAAAAUUGAUUUCACAAAACACAAUAAGCACCAAUCCCCGGCAACGGCGCAAAAAACUUGUUGUCGAUUUUCUAAUGCUAUUAGUGUCAAUGUGAAAAUGUACACAACAAGUAAUAUAACGAUAAGUAUUCACUCCACAAGGAUUAUUAUUAUAGGAAUUGCUACAGUAAUUCUAUCAGUGCCAUUCUUAUUAUAAAUUAGAAUUUAAACAAAUUAUUCAACUAAUGAACUAAGGCAGAUCUUAUUGGGCUAGUCGGCAAUGUGUUGCUUUAGGUCGUGUGGAAUAGUUGCGGGAGUGAUCUUGCAUGAUGUGUGGAGCUAUAACAGUGCUGAGCAUGGGCCAAUCUAUGGGCUCAUGGAACUAGCGAACCUAAUCUAGAAUUUCGAGGAAGAGUACUCUGGUUAGUACUCUAAAUUACCUUAUUAUAUUUUGCACAAACAGAGGCAUGUUAGUGAAAUAAUAUCUAAGCAACCCAAGAGGGGGGUGAAUUGGGUUUCUAAAAAUUAUGCAAUUCUUAAACAAAACUUAAUGCAAAUCUUAAACGAAUUUAAAGCAAUAAUACAUAAAUCAACCAAGGUAUAAAAAGAUAAGGGAAGAGAGAUUAAAACACAGAGAGUUUUACGUGGUUCGGCCAACCUUGCCUACAUCCACACCCCCAAGCACACCGAGCUUGGGCAUUCCACUAGUCAAGCCUUCAAGGCUUCAAGAACACUUACAAUUGACUUCUUAGGUGUCAAUCAACCUUUACAUCUAGAGAUUAUCCCCAAUCUCUUAACCCAAGUGUAUCCCAAUAUUUACAAUCACUCAAAAUAAAGAUUACAAAUUUAUUUUUCUCUCACACAAUUUUUUAAGAUUACAAAUCAACGCUUAAUGUGUGAAUAAAUGAACAAGAAUGAAUUUGAAGCUCAAUGAAUGUUGUAUUCUCGAUUAUAAGCUCAAUGAUAACGUUGUGAUAAGCUCUUGUUUGAAUUUGAUUGAUCUUAUUUAUAGUUGGAGUUGAAAAAUAGCCAUUGUUGACUUUUUCCCGAAAUUGGAUCGCCGUUAACCGUUAUCGGUUAACCGUUUUGACUGGUCCAAGUGACCGUUGAGCUGAAUUUCAAAUAAACGGUUGAUCUUUUGACACUAUCGGUUUGCUGUUAAUUUCCAUAAACCUGUAAAACAAAUUUAUGCUAUUCGUUCUUGCUAAACGGUUGAAGGUCAGCAUGGAAUGACAUUCUAGAAAUUAUUGGUUGGCCGUUUGAAGUUCACGGUUCACCGUUUACUUCUAGAAUCACAGUUUUAACCAAAUUUCGCAGGGAAUGCUUUUUCGGUUAAAGUUAACGAUUAUCCAUAUUUCAUGAACACAUUUAGAAAAAUCAUACGACUUUUGAGAAAUUGUUUAGUAAUGAAAACUCUAACAUUUUAAUCAAAUACAUUUAAAGUUUGUUAUCAUCAAAAUCAAUAUAAUGAACAUCUACAUGUUAACAGUUAGGCCUUGAUUAUUUUUUAAAUCUUAUAAGAUAUAGAGUGAUAAUAGUAACUCAAUUUUCAUAAAACGUGGAAAGAUCAGUCGCCAAAUUUAUAGAUGCCAUAGAAAACCUAGAUUUUAGUAAGGAAUAUCAAGUUAUUUAUACAAUGAAAAUUGUUAAAACUCGAUUAAUUGCAAGGAAACACUUUUAGAGAGAUAUGGAGAGAAUAAACUUUGAAGAUAACAAUGAAAUACAUGACACAUUUAAGGAAGAAAAUAUAAUAGUAUUAAUAGAAUCUAUUUUAACCGGUCUUAAGAUAAUUCAAGAUUGAUGCAAAAUAAAUAACAGGACUCUAAACCGUCCAUAAUAAGUCUAUUGAUUAAUAAUAACAAUAAUAGUGAUGUGAAAUUUUUUAUUCAGAAUGCUCAAUUUAGAUUAUAAUAUCUAUGUGAAAGCAUUGAUGGCAUGUACCUUGGUUAGGAAAAUAGAUUGGACACAUGGAUAUAUAUGUUGGAAGAACAAAUCUAGUUUAUAUCUCAAGAGAGAUAAUAAAUUAUAAAUGACGGUGCUAUAGUAUAUUCAGAUUUUAUAAAUCUUUAUAAAUUUAAUAAUCAUUUAGAUCUUCAUAAUAUUAUAAUAAAACUUUAAAAAACUUUAAAAAUAUAUGUAGAAGAGAUGGAAGAAGAAAUCAUCCAAUUAUUCAAAAUCAAUUAAACAAAAAUAGAAGGUAAAAUCCUUGAAUUAUAUAAAUUAUACAAUUUCACAGAAAUUUUGCAUAUAUUGCGAAACGGUCCUUGUGGCACUAAUUAUGGGACUAGUGUAGCAUAAAUACUAAUAUUGCUUUUUAUUUUGUAAAUUAAUUGUUGCGUCAUAAUUUUUUUACAUACACAUUUUAUGUUUUAAAAUAUGAUUUUUUUUUUGUAUUUAGGGUUAAUUUUACAAUUUCAUACUUUGUUCAAUUAUAUGUACAGGUCCUUCACGUGUUGGUUGAUGUUGAAUAUUCAAAGAUCCACAAGCUAUCAACGACAACGAAUCAAAUUAAACUAAUUAGUUAAUACAUAAUGACUGGGUUGUUUCCUAUGUUGUUAAUGAUGUAGAACGUUAUUUUAGGAUUUUAGAAUUUUAAUUUUUAGGUCUUCUGAUAUUUUCUUUUUUAAUUAAAGUUAGUGUCUUAGUUUUUUAUUUAUUUAUGUUAUAAUUAUAAUUUACUUUCUCUUUUUAAGUUAACUUAGGAAAAUAUAUUUACUGUAUUAUAAAUAAAGAGAUCUUGUUAUUACUUUAUAACUUCAACUUCAGUUAUUCAAUUAAAAACCCCUCUUUUAUAAUUUCCUUUUGUAUUAUCUAUUAAAAACCCCUCUUUUAAAGUUGUUUGAUUAGAGCAUCAUCUAGCCUUGCUUAACGCAGUAUAAAAAAUCCCUUUGAGUUUAAUCACACGUCGAUUAGAGCGUAACUUAAUCGCAUUGACUUGGUCCAUGACUUGAACGAUAUCUAGUGUUUUGCUUCCGCUAUGCCCAAGGAGAAAAUUAAUUUCACCGUGAGAUAAGAGCAUUAAAAGGAAUUCAUAAGAAAUUUAAAUUAAAGCUAUAUAUGUUAAAUAUAUCGCUAGCUACUUGUUUUUGGAGGAAUUAAAACAAUUAAUAAGCUGCGAAGUGAAAAUGAAUAAAUAAAUGAAAUGAGGUUGAAAAUAAGUCUCGCCGCCUGGAUCCAAGGCCAAAACAUUCAUGAUAAGUUAGGUAAUUAAGUACAUGUUUUCAAGCUCUUCAUGAAGAAUAACGUUAUUGAAAUAAAUCACAAAGACUCCCUGCGCAAAUUAUUACAUUGAUUAAAAAAAAAAGCCAUAUCUUUAACAGGAUCGUGACUCUCGGACUGUUAAUUACUUUAUUCCCUGCUUGGCCAACAGCUGGCCACUAAACAAAAUCAUAAAAAUUUUAAAUUUAGUCAAAUUGGUCCCACUUGAUGACAUCCUUUUCAUACAUAAAAUUGUUAACGUCAAGGUUAAAUAUGAGAAGUUUGGUAGAGAAGGUAAAAAGGAAGUCUAUAUAAGGAGGGGAACGAGCUUUGUUUAUAGCACAAGUGAAACUCCACUUUAUUGAACGAUGGGGUCUCAAAUGGGCUGCCUCUUUGCCACUCUUUUGGUAGUAUCAGUCUCUCUUAGCUACUUGCCGUUAGAAGCCUCCGCAAACAAAUACUACUACACAUCUCCUCCCCCUCCCAAGUACAAGUCUCCACCACCACCCCCGCCACCGGUUCACAAUUCUCCACCACCACCCCCGGUUUACCUGCCCCCGCCACCUCCUCCACCAGUCUACGUGCCUGCUCCGGCACCAACUCCAAUUUUCCCUUCUCCGCCACCUCCUGUCCCCAAGUCCCCACCACCACCUCACCCUUACGUCUAUGCAUCUCCCCCUCCUCCUUACUACUACUAGAAAGCGGCCAUGAAUAGCUCAUGCUUUUAUGGUAAUCUCAUUUAUUUUUAAAACUGUACAUGUAAAGACUAGUAGUUCAGAAUUACAUUAAGCAUUUCAAUUUUAAGCACCGUGUUCUGUUUAAUUGCGUUCCUAUUGAUUAAGUGACAAAUAAAAGAGAUUGAUUAAUUUGUUCUUGUAGGAGAGGCGAAUGGUAUCCGAAUAAAGAAAGCAAGGGUUUGAUGGAAGGCUUACUUGGAGCAAGAUAGCGAUCAAUCGAGUUGCUGCGUUUUAUUCUCUUUUAUCUUUGUUUUUUAAGAAAAAUAAACUGCCACACGUAGAAACAGAAAAUUAAGUUCUUGUCAUUUUCAUGCAUAUGGAUUGUUGCUGUGUGUGUCAAUCAAAUCUCCGUUGUGUCAUUUGUAAUUUUCAACCUUUAUGCAUGCAAAUGCGAGACCUCUUACGUAUAAUAAAAUUAAUAUACUUCCCAAGAUGGUCUUAUCUUGCGUUGACUUUUUACGUUCCUUUGGUGAUGAUUUUGACGUUUGAAAUUGAUGACUAAUUGACUAUUGUUUUUGUAAACUCUGACAUGGAUUUUUCGUGCAACUACAGAGCGCAUUAACGAGAGACUUAUCCAUGAGGGUCCAUGCAGAUCAGUGUCUAAUUAACCAAUAAUUAAUAUAACUAAAAAAAUAUAGAGUUAACUAUUUUUAUGGGUCAGGCUCAAUUGCAGAUGUUCGUACAAAAUUUCUUGCUAAUGUAUACUUGAGUAUGAUAAUAAGUUUUUAAUCAUUAUUAAUAAUUCACUUGAUAAUAUUAAACAAAUUUUCAUAUCAAUUAAGUUACAAAAUUUCUGUGACAAAUUUCCGCGUACUGGAACCAUGCAAAAGGGCUUUAUUCAAACAAAACUGCAUAGCCGUUGGCAAUUAAAAUUAUUUAUCAAUUAAGUUAAGUAGUAAGAAUUGGAUUGUGGAUUCCAUUAAUUAUUUCAAGGAAAAUUUUAUAGAUAAUGCCGUAAUGAAAUUUACGGCAUCAAUACCAUGAUAAAUAUAAAUAUUGUAAAUUACAAAUAGAAUUAGUAAAUGUAAAGUAAAACCAGUAAAUUCAUAAAAGAUUAUUAAUUAUUUAAAAAAUUAACAUUGUUUCUACAUAAUUUUAGUGAAAAAUAUUUUAUUCAUUUACAAAAACAUUUCUUUAAUUAAACAAAAAAAUUCAUUAAUUAAGCAAAAAAAUUAUACUGAAAAAAAAGUGGAAUAAGUUUAAUUGAAUUGGUUAUCAUAAAUUCUAUAUUUAGUCUAGGACAUUUUUAUACAUUUUCUUCCCAUUUUCGAUAAUGAUAUCUAUUUGUUACACAUGUUAAUUAAGUGCAAUUAUUUAUCUUGAUGUGGAUCAAGUAAAAAAAUAUCAUAAAUAAGAUAUCAAUAAAAUUAGAUCUAAUUUUGAAUAUUAUGUAUACUUUAUGUAGUUUCAAACUUUUUACUUGUAUUUGGAGACCAUUUAAGGUUGUUGUUGAAGAAGUGUAGAAAGAUGUAAAAUAACUUCAUCUUACAACAACUAUGAAAGAUAUUAAAAUAAUAAUUUUUUCAAAAUCCGAUUUUGAGAAAAAAAUUCAUCCUUAAUUAAACAUCACAUGUAUUAUAGAAAUGCAAAACUACCAUUGUUAUAUUUAACUUAAAAAAUAAUAAAUAUAUAAGGUAAUAAACAUUAUAAAGAGUUUUUAUUUUAAAAUUGUAAACUUUUGUUUCUGACAAUAACUCUUAUAUUAAUUUAUUUAUUUUGCCUUUUAUUCAUAAGUUUUAUGCAUAAUUUACAAACUUUAAGUUUUAUUUUGCAUUUUAUGUUGAUUUGGUUUUUUUAUAUUAUACGUACAAGUUUUCUUUUUAUUUACCAGUAAUACAUCAAUUUAUCAGCUUGAUAGUAAUUUACUUAUUUUACCUUCCUUUUACAAUUCUUAUGUUUCAUUUCCAAAAUUUAUGUUUUAUUUUACAGUUGUUGAUGAUUUACUAGUUUUAUGUUAUGUUUGCAAGUUUUUGUUUUGUUUACUAGUAAUAGAUUAAUGGGUAAUUUUUAAUUGAGUCCUCAUUAGUUCUAGAAAAACAAUUCAGAGACCAGAAGUUUACUAAAUGAAUCAAUUAAAUUCUUUCAAGUACAAACUAAUGUCAUUCAAGUCCUUAACUUAAUUGGUCAGUUAAAAAUAUUAACAACGUUGAGGACAUUUUAGUAAAACAACAAUUGAGUCGUUUCUCAUUCUUUAUUUUUGACAGGUGGAAAUAGUUUAAAGUAAACUCACUUAACCUGAUUAAGUUAAGGAUCAGUUCUUUCAAAUGAAAAAAAAAAAAAAAAACCUACAGAAACUGCCAUAUUCUUCGUGUGGGAGGAGAGAUCGAGAGAACGUGGGAUGGUGCAAAAAAUGUUGUAUAAAUCUACUGUGAUUUUGACCAAAGCUUUGGUAGCAUUGAUUGAGUUCAAGUACUGGAGAGAACCUGAGUUUAAAGGUUAGUAACUCUAUUUUUUUAGUGAUUUUUGCAAGCAUUUUCUGAUAAAAAAUUUUCCGUAUUGAGUGAUCGUUGUGAAAAAUUAAGUUUUUCAAGUCUAUUUUACAAAAUGACAAACUAUGUUUAAUUAUUGGUGGAUUCUUUUUUUUGUUCAAUGUUGUAUUUUGUUAAUUUGUUGUUUUUAAUUUGCUCUUAAUGUAAUUGUUAGACCAAAUACACCAUUAUUAUACCUAUAUUCAUUUCAACAAUUUGGUAUCGUUAUAUUAAUAAGAUUGAAUUCAUUGUAUUUGCUUCUUUGUUCAUGUAAAAUUGAAUUCUAUGUAUUCUUAUGAGUGAUAAUUUUUCUAUCUAUUAGACUAAAUUCACUAUAUUCACUACUUUCUUUCUUUUUGCUGGGCUAUUUUUUCUUUUUAGUUUAUAUUUUUAUAUGUAUUAGAUUGAAUUUGCUUUUGUACGUUUUUUUAGCCGAAUUACAUGUAUAUUUCAUUUAGGUUGAGUUUUUUUUGUUGUUUGCUAAAUAAAAUUAUAUUGGUUUAUCCCCUUUUUAUGCAAUACUUUUUGUUUAAAAUUAAUACAGUUAGCCAUGUUACCUUUUUUUUCAGUUAAAAUUAAUGGGGUGAUGUAGGCGAUAGGAUAUAGGGAACCAGAGGAAUAUAAGAUUAUUAGGCUGUUUCUUGAAAUUCAAGAUGUCAUGGUUAAGCAUGGACACAGUGAAAUGGAUUUGAUUGAAAUUUUUGUUGUAUUGCCAUGGACUACAAGUGGCCAGAGGAAGCUAAUUUCAAACGAUAGUGAAUUGUAUUGGGUUUUCGAGGAGUUUUUUUUAAUCAAUAGUUGUCCUGUCAUUGAGUUUGAGGUGCACACUGGGUCAGGUGGUCAGUCAUUUCAUGAAAGUGUUGUAAUAGGACCUGAAAAUCCUGUCAAUAUUAAAAAUUAGUGUUGUAAUAGUGAUAAGUUUGAAAAUGUUGUGGCUAAAAAGGUCUGCCUAGAAUAAUUGGUACUUCUUUAUUUGCCUCAAAGUCCAACACUAUGAAAUCCACAAGGAAAAAGAAUUUAUCCACUUUAACCAGCACGUCUUCAAUCUUGCCUUCAGGAUAAGCAUGAGAUCUGGCAGCACAUUGCAAUGUCACUGUGGUUGGUUUGACUUCUCCAACUCCCAAUUGCUUGAAUUCUGAUAAUGUCAUAAGAUUGAUGCUUGCUCCCAAACCACAAAGUGUCUUGCCACUGUAUUUAGUCCCUAUGGAACAAUGAAUUGUGAAACUUCCUGGAUCCUUCAACUUCUGAGGCAUUUUACUCUGAAGCAUAUGGCUGCAUUCUUGUGUUAGACCAACUAUUUCAAAUUCUCCGAGCCUCAUUUUCCUUGCCAAUAUACAUUUCCAAAAACUUUACAUAAUUUGGCAUUUGUUCUAAUGCUUCCACAAAAGAAAUGUUGAUAUGCAGUUCUUUCCAUACUUCCAAGAAUUUACUGAACUGCAUGUCUUGCUUUCGCUUUUGAAAUCUUUGUGGGAAGGGUGGUGGAUGUGUAAAUUGUUGUACUGCAGCAGACUAUACAUAUUGCUUUUCUCUUGCUCUAUUAUGGUAUGUUAUUAUUGGUGUUGCAGCUUCUUCCUCAACAAGCAUUGAAUCAUGUUUUUUUGCAGUUGCUAUAACUUAGCAACUCUCACCAGUGUGCUGGAAAAUGGGUUGUUGUGUCUCUUCUUUAAUUUGAGUUUCCCCUUGGGUUGAAUUAGGUUCCACUCUUCUUUUUGGUACUUUAACAAGUAUAUGAACAUCCUUUCCAAACCUUAAGUUAAUCCCCUUACAAUGCUCUUUUCCUUCUCUCUUUCGAUCCUCUGUAUUGUUUAGUAAAUUGUCCUGAGGUAUGUUGCUCAAUUUUGUAGCAAGCUGUCCAAUCUUAUUCUCCAAGUUUCUUAAAAAUACAGCUUGGCUUUAGACCACUACUUCAAUCUUUACAAUAUACUCCUUAAUCAGAGUUUCAAUGGAACUAAAUUGAUCAUUACUGGUGUUUCUUUACCCUUCAAAUUUCUGGUGAAAAUCAGGUGGCUGAGCAAGUCUGUUCUGUCCACUGGAUGCUGCAGCAUGCUGAUUCUGAUUGCUCCUUUUAAAAUUUGGGUGAUGUCUCCAUCCUAGGUUAUAGGUGUUUGAAAAUGGAUUGCUUUGAUUUUGUUUAUUAAAAUUGCCCACAUAAUUGACGGAAGCUGAAUUCCUAGGACAAUUAUGAUAUAGAUGUCCCUCUCCAUAAUAAACACAAGAGACUUCAGCAAUUUGGUUAACUGUUGCCGGAGCAGUGGCCGUUGCUUUUACCAUAUUUGUCAAUGAGGUUACUUAGGCUGAUAAUGUUGUCAGUGCAUCCACAUUGUGUACUCCUGCUGCUCCUCUCACUGUGGCUUGUCUAGUUGAUGGCCAUUGAUAGUUAUCCUUUCUAAAAUUUCAUAAGCCUCAUUAUAUGAGUUAGACAAUAAAGCCCCUAGUUAUUGAGUUCAACCCAUUGUAGAAAGUUUCCAAUUGUAUGCAAUAAGGAAUACCAUGAUGAGGGCAUCUCCUGAGUAACCCCUUGAAUCUUUCUCAUGCAUCAUACAAGCUUUCAUCUUCAAGUUGAUGGAAAGAUGUGAUCUCAUUCUUCAACUUUGCAUUCUUUGUUGGUGGGAAAUAUUUCAUCAAAAGUUUGUCAGCCAAAUAAUUCCAUGUGGUGAUGGAGUCUGGUUGCAAAGAACUCCACUGUACCAACUAAAAUUGAUUUCACAAAACACAAUAAGCACCAAUCCCCGGCAACGGCGCAAAAAACUUGUUGUCGAUUUUCUAAUGCUAUUAGUGUCAAUGUGAAAAUGUACACAACAAGUAAUAUAACGAUAAGUAUUCACUCCACAAGGAUUAUUAUUAUAGGAAUUGCUACAGUAAUUCUAUCAGUGCCAUUCUUAUUAUAAAUUAGAAUUUAAACAAAUUAUUCAACUAAUGAACUAAGGCAGAUCUUAUUGGGCUAGUCGGCAAUGUGUUGCUUUAGGUCGUGUGGAAUAGUUGCGGGAGUGAUCUUGCAUGAUGUGUGGAGCUAUAACAGUGCUGAGCAUGGGCCAAUCUAUGGGCUCAUGGAACUAGCGAACCUAAUCUAGAAUUUCGAGGAAGAGUACUCUGGUUAGUACUCUAAAUUACCUUAUUAUAUUUUGCACAAACAGAGGCAUGUUAGUGAAAUAAUAUCUAAGCAACCCAAGAGGGGGGUGAAUUGGGUUUCUAAAAAUUAUGCAAUUCUUAAACAAAACUUAAUGCAAAUCUUAAACGAAUUUAAAGCAAUAAUACAUAAAUCAACCAAGGUAUAAAAAGAUAAGGGAAGAGAGAUUAAAACACAGAGAGUUUUACGUGGUUCGGCCAACCUUGCCUACAUCCACACCCCCAAGCACACCGAGCUUGGGCAUUCCACUAGUCAAGCCUUCAAGGCUUCAAGAACACUUACAAUUGACUUCUUAGGUGUCAAUCAACCUUUACAUCUAGAGAUUAUCCCCAAUCUCUUAACCCAAGUGUAUCCCAAUAUUUACAAUCACUCAAAAUAAAGAUUACAAAUUUAUUUUUCUCUCACACAAUUUUUUAAGAUUACAAAUCAACGCUUAAUGUGUGAAUAAAUGAACAAGAAUGAAUUUGAAGCUCAAUGAAUGUUGUAUUCUCGAUUAUAAGCUCAAUGAUAACGUUGUGAUAAGCUCUUGUUUGAAUUUGAUUGAUCUUAUUUAUAGUUGGAGUUGAAAAAUAGCCAUUGUUGACUUUUUCCCGAAAUUGGAUCGCCGUUAACCGUUAUCGGUUAACCGUUUUGACUGGUCCAAGUGACCGUUGAGCUGAAUUUCAAAUAAACGGUUGAUCUUUUGACACUAUCGGUUUGCUGUUAAUUUCCAUAAACCUGUAAAACAAAUUUAUGCUAUUCGUUCUUGCUAAACGGUUGAAGGUCAGCAUGGAAUGACAUUCUAGAAAUUAUUGGUUGGCCGUUUGAAGUUCACGGUUCACCGUUUACUUCUAGAAUCACAGUUUUAACCAAAUUUCGCAGGGAAUGCUUUUUCGGUUAAAGUUAACGAUUAUCCAUAUUUCAUGAACACAUUUAGAAAAAUCAUACGACUUUUGAGAAAUUGUUUAGUAAUGAAAACUCUAACAUUUUAAUCAAAUACAUUUAAAGUUUGUUAUCAUCAAAAUCAAUAUAAUGAACAUCUACAUGUUAACAGUUAGGCCUUGAUUAUUUUUUAAAUCUUAUAAGAUAUAGAGUGAUAAUAGUAACUCAAUUUUCAUAAAACGUGGAAAGAUCAGUCGCCAAAUUUAUAGAUGCCAUAGAAAAUCUAGAUUUUAGUAAGGAAUAUCAAGUUAUUUAUACAAUGAAAAUUGUUAAAACUCGAUUAAUUGCAAGGAAACACUUUUAGAGAGAUAUGGAGAGAAUAAACUUUGAAGAUAACAAUGAAAUACAUGACACAUUUAAGGAAGAAAAUAUAAUAGUAUUAAUAGAAUCUAUUUUAACCAGUCUUAAGAUAAUUCAAGAUUGAUGCAAAAUAAAUAACAGGACUCUAAACCGUCCAUAAUAAGUCUAUUGAUUAAUAAUAAUAAUAAUAGUGAUGUGAAAUUUUUUAUUCAGAAUGCUCAAUUUAGAUUAUAAUAUCUAUGUGAAAGCAUUGAUGGCAUGUACCUUGGUUAGGAAAAUAGAUUGGACACAUGGAUAUAUAUGUUGGAAGAACAAAUCUAGUUUAUAUCUCAAGAGAGAUAAUAAAUUAUAAAUGCCGGUGCUAUAGUAUAUUCAGAUUUUAUAAAUCUUUAUAAAUUUAAUAAUCAUUUAGAUCUUCAUAAAAUUAUAAUAAAACUUUAAAAAACUUUAAAAAUAUAUGUAGAAGAGAUGGAAGAAGAAAUCAUCCAGUUAUUCAAAAUCAAUUAAACAGAAAUAGAAGGUAAAAUCCUUGAAUUAUAUAAAUUAUACAAUUUCACAGAAAUUUUGCAUAUAUUGCAAAACGGUCCUUGUGGCACUAAUUAUGGGACUAGUGUAGCAUAAAUACUAAUAUUGCUUUUUAUUUUGUAAAUUAAUUGUUGCGUCAUAAUGUUUUUACAUACACAUUUUAUGUUUUAAAAUAUGAAUUUUUUUUUUUUGUAUUUAGGGAUAAUUUUACAAUUUCAUACUUUGUUCAAUUAUAUAUACAGGUCCUUAACGUGUUGGUUGAUGUUGAAUAUUCAAAGAUCCACAAGCUAUCAACGACAACGAAUCAAAUUAAACUAAUUAGUUAAUACAUAAUGACUGGGUUGUUUCCUAUGUUGUUAAUGAUGUAGGACGUUAUUUUAGGAUUUUAGAAUUGUAAUUUUUAGGUCUUCUGAUAUUUUCUUUUUUAAUUAAAGUUAGUGUCUUAGUUUUUUAUUUAUUUAUGUUAUAAUUAUAAUUUACUUUCUCUUUUUAAGUUAACUUAGGAAAAUAUAUUUACUGUAUUAUAAAUAAAGAGAUCUUGUUAUUACUUUAUAACUUCAACUUCAGUUAUUCAAUUAAAAACCCCUCUUUUAUAAUUUCAUUUUGUAUUAUUUAUUAAAAACCCCUCUUUUAAAGUUGUUUGAUUAGAGCAUCAUCCAGCCUUGCUUAACGCAGUAUUAAAAAUCCAUUUGAGUUUAAUCACACUUCGAUUAGAGCGUAACUUAAUUGCAUUGACUUGGUCCAGUACUUGAACGAUAUCUAGUGUUUUGCUUCCGCUAUGCCAAGGAGAAAAUUAAUUUCACCGUGAGAUAAGAGCAUUAAAAGGAAUUCAUAAGAAAUUUAAAUUAAAGCUAUAUAUGUUAAAUAUAUCGCUAGCUACUUGUUUUUGGAGGAAUUAAAACAAUUAAUAAGCUGCGAAGUGAAAAUGAAUAAAUAAAUGAAAUGAGGUUGAAAAUAAGUCUCGCCGCCUGGAUCCAAGGCCAAAACAUUCAUGAUAAGUUAGGUAAUUAAGUACAUGUUUUCAAGCUCUUCAUGAAGAAUAACGUUAUUGAAAUAAAUCACAAAGACUCCCUGCGCAAAUUAUUACAUUGAUUAAAAAAAAAAAGCCAUAUCUUUAACAGGAUCGUGACUCUCGGACUGUUAAUUACUUUAUUCCCUGCUUGGCCAACAGCUGGCCACUAAACAAAAUCAUAAAAAUUUUAAAUUUAGUCAAAUUGGUCCCACUUGAUGACAUCCUUUCCAUACAUAAAAUUGUUUAACGUCAAGGUUAAAUAUGAGAAGUUUGGUAGAGAAGGUAAAAAGGAAGUCUAUAUAAGGAGGGGAACGAGCUUUGUUUAUAGCACAAGUGAAACUCCACUUUAUUGAACGAUGGGGUCUCAAAUGGGCUGCCUCUUUGCCACUCUUUUGGUAGUAUCAGUCUCUCUUAGCUACUUGCCGUUAGAAGCCUCCGCAAACAAAUACUACUACACAUCUCCUCCCCCUCCCAAAUACAAGUCUCCACCACCACCCCCGCCACCGGUUCACAAUUCUCCACCACCACCCCCGGUUUACCUGCCCCCGCCACCUCCUCCACCAGUCUACGUGCCUGCUCCGGCACCAACUCCAAUUUUCCCUUCUCCGCCACCUCCUGUCCCCAAGUCCCCACCACCACCUCACCCUUACAUCUAUGCAUCUCCCCCUCCUCCUUACUACUACUAGAAAGUGGCCAUGAAUAGCUCAUGCUUUUAUGGUAAUCUCAUUUAUUUUUAAAACUGUACAUGUAAAGACUAGUAGUUCAGAAUUACAUUAAGCAUUUCAAUUUUAAGCACCGUGUUCUGUUUAAUUGCGUUCCUAUUGAUUAAGUGACAAAUAAAAGAGAUUGAUUAAUUUGUUCUUGUAGGAGAGGCGAAUGGUUUCCGAAUAAAGAAAGCAAGGGUUUGAUGGAAGGCUUACUUGGAGCAAGAGAGCGAUCAAUCGAGUUGCUGCGUUUUAUUCUCUUUUAUCUUUGUUUUUUAAGAAAAAUAAACUGCCACACGUAGAAACAGAAAAUUAAGUUCUUGUCAUUUUCAUGCAUAUGGAUUGUUGCUGUGUGUGUCAAUCAAAUCUCCGUUGUGUCAUUUGUAAUUUUCAACCUUUAUGCAUGCAAAUGCGAGACCUCUUACGUAUAAUAAAAUUAAUAUACUUCCAAAGAUGGUCUUAUCUUGCGUUGACUUUUUACGUUCCUUUGGUGAUGAUUUUGACGUUUGAAAUUGAUGACUAUUGUUUUUGUAAACUCUGACAUGGAUUUUUCGUGCAACUACAGAGCGCAUUAACGAGAGACUUAUCCAUGAGGGUCCAUGCAGAUCAGUGUCUAAUUAACCAAUAAUUAAUAUAACUUAAAAAAUAUAGAGUUAAUAAUUUUUAUGGGUCAUGCUCAAUUGCAGAUGUUCGUACAAAAUUUCUUGCUAAUGUAUACUUGAGUAUGAUAAUAAGUUUUAAUCAUUAUUAAUAAUUCACUUGAUAAUAUUAAACAAAUUUUCAUAUCAAUUAAGUUACAAAAUUUCUGUGACAAAUUUCCACGUACUGGAACCAUGCAAAAGGGCUUUAUUCAAGCAAAGCUGCAUAGCCGUUGGCAAUUAAAAUUAUUUAUCAAUUAAGUUAAGUAGUAAGAAUUGGAUUGUGGAUUCCAUUAAUUAUUUCAAGGAAAAUUUUAUAGAUAAUGCCGUAAUGAAAUUUACGGCAUCAAUAUCACGAUAAAUAUAAAUAUUGUAAAUUACAAAUAGAAUUAGUAAAUGUAAAGUAAAACCAGUAAAUUCAUAAAAGAUUAUUAAUUAUUUAAAAAAUUAACAUUGUGUUAUGUUUGCAAGUUUUUGUUUUGUUUACUAGUUUUAUGUUAUGUUUGCAAGUUUUUGUUUUGUUUACUAGUAAUAGAUUAAUGGGUAAUUUUUAAUUGAGUCCUCAUUAGUUCUAGAAAAACAAUUCAGAGACCAGAAGUUUACUAAAUGAAUCAAUUAAAUUCUUUCAAGUACAAACUAAUGUCAUUCAAGUCCUUAACUUAAUUGGUCAGUUAAAAAUAUUAACAACGUCGAGGACAUUUUAGUAAAACAACAAUUGAGUCGUUUCUCAUUCUUUAUUUUUGACAGGUGGAAAUAGUUUAAAGUAAACUCACUUAACCUGAUUAAGUUAAGGAUCAGUUCUUUCAAAUGAAAAAAAAAAAAAAAAAAAACCUACAGAAACUGCCAUAUUCUUCGUGUGGGAGGAGAGAUCGAGAGAACGUGGGAUGGUGCAAAAAAUGUUGUAUAAAUCUACUGUGAUUUUGACCAAAGCUUUGGUAGCAUUGAUUGAGUUCAAGUACUGGAGAGAACCUGAGUUUAAAGGUUAGUAACUCUAUUUUUUUAGUGAUUUCUGCAAGCAUUUUCUGAUAAAAAAUUUUCCGUAUUGAGUGAUCGUUGUGAAAAAUUAAGUUUUUCAAGUCUAUUUUACAAAAUGACAAACUAUGUUUAAUUAUUGGUGGAUUCUUUUUUUUGUUCAAUGUUGUAUUUUGUUAAUUUGUUGUUUUUAAUUUGCUCUUAAUGUAAUUGUUAGACCAAAUACACCAUUAUUAUACCUGUAUUCAUUUCAACAAUUUGGUAUCGUUAUAUUAAUAAGAUUGAAUUCAUUGUAUUUGCUUCUUUGUUCAUGUAAAAUUGAAUUCUAUGUAUUCUUAUGAGUGAUAAUUUUUCUAUCUAUUAGACUAAAUUCACUAUAUUCACGACUUUCUUUCUUUUUGCUGGGCUAUUUUUUCUUUUUAGUUUAUAUUUUUUAUAUGUAUUAGAUUGAAUUUGCUUUUGUACGUUUUUUUAGCCGAAUUACAUGUAUAUUUUAUUUAGGUUGAGUUUUUUUGUUGUUUGCUAAAUAAAAUUCUAUUGGUUUAUCAUUUUUUGAUGCAAUACUUUUUGUUUAAAAUUAAUGCAGGUAGCCAUGUUACCUUUUUUUCGGUUAAAAUUAAUUGGGUGAUGUAUGCGAUAUAGGGAACCAGAGGAAUAUAAGAUUAUUAGGUUGUUUCUUGAAAUUCAAGAUGUCAUGGUUGAGCAUGGACACAGUGAAAUGGAUUUGAUUGAAAUUUCUGUUGUAUUGCCAUGGACUACAAGUAGGCAGAGGAAGCUAAUUUCAAACGAUAGUGAAUUGUAUUGGGUUUUCGAGGAGUUUUUUUUUUUUUUUUAUCAAUAGUUGUCCUGUCAUUGAGUUUGAGGUGCACAUUGGGUCAGGUGGUCAGUCAUUUCAUGAAAGUGUUGUAAUAGGACCUGAAAAUCCUGUCAAUAUAGGUGUUAGUGUUAUAAUAGUGAUAAGUUUGAAAAUCCUGUGGCUAAAAAGGGUAUGCCUAGAAUAAUUGGUACUUCUUUAUUUGCCUCAAAGUUCAACACUAUGAAAUCCACCAAGAAAAAGAAUUUAUCCACUUUAACCAGCAAUCUUCAAUCUUGCCUUCAGGAUAAGCAUGAGAUCUGUCAGCACAUUGCAAUGACACUGUGGUUGGUCUGACUUCUCCAACUUCCAAUUGCUUGAAUUCUGAUAAUGUCAUAAGAUUGAUGGCUUGCUCUCAAAUCACAAAGUGUCUUGCCACUGUAUUUAGUUCCUAUGGAACAAGGAAUUGUGAAACUUCCUGGAUCCUUCAACUUCUGAGGCAUUUUACUCUGAAGCAUAUGGCUGCAUUCUUGUGUUAGAGCAACUAUUUCGAAUUCUCCAAGCCUCCACUACUAGAAAAACAGGCUACUAUGACAGAAUUUUUGUGAUAGAUAUCAGAAAAUUAGUCAUUUAUCACAAAAAUAUAACAUACAUGUGAUAGAAUUUUCAUAUAUCAACAAGGCAUGAUAGAUUUGUGAUAGUUUCUUUAUCUGUCACUUGUACAUGAUAGCAUAUUAAUAUAGUAAUGAAACGGUGAGUUUAAGAUUGGCCAAUUUGGGCAUUGAACGACACCGUGUCUUGAAGCCUUUAAAAAAAAUUCUAAGUGUUGGACACUCCUUUGAACUUCACAUAGAAAACCCUAAUUUCUACAUCCAAACUGAAUCACACAAAAAUACACCAUCACACUUGCCGCCAAUAAAUUGUUGUUGUUCGUCUUUGUCGUCAUCUUCAUCCCCACUCCACAGCUUGCUGGCUAUUCCCAUUUCCCUUUUAUAGCUUGAACAACUGAUCUUCUUCAAGUUCGAGCCACUGUUACUGACUUCUUUCGGGAGAGGUAAGUGAUUAAUUCUUUUUUUUUUUUGAAGAGACAACAAUCACCAUAAAUUUCUCAAAAUCCCUAAAAUUAUGCCAAAAAAAGGAAAAAAUAAAGCCGUUCCAUGGCCUUAAAGGACUGACUUCGAGUUCGUGGACUAACGUGCCAACGACUCCGCUUUAUGGCCUUCGUGGAACGAUUCCGUGACACGCGAGUGGCAGCGUGCUAUUUACGUGGAGUCGGAUCGGAGAAGAUUGUACUACGAGGAGUUGGCGAUGUGAGAAAGACAGCGAGUUAGCUACUACGUCUUCGACUUAGGGUAAAAUUUUGGCAGAAUUUGAACUGAAAUUUAGUGGGUUUUGAGUGGUAAGACGAGGUUUUGAGAGAGGAAAAGGAGUGUUUGGCUGGCGAGAAAGUGAGAGAAAGUUUUUGAGUGUGGAGUGAUGGCUUCUCUGUUUUUACUUCUUUAUUGUUCUUUAUUGAGUAGAUGGUGACGAUACAAACUUUUAACAUUGUUUACUUAAUUAAUUGGAUAACAAUCUUACAUGACUAUUUUGAUUUAUCAGAUAAAUCAGUUAGAGAAGAAUGGAGAUGUUGUUGCUCAGGCACGAGCAAUUACAGCAAUCUAGACACUCUGCCCCGUCUUUCUUUCAAUGUUGUUGGCACACUGAAUAAUUUCCUUAGUGACAAGUUAACCAAAUUUAGAGGUAUAUGUGAUUUUGAUUUGACUUACUCUUAAUGAAAUACAAUAAGGAUUUUUUCUGUUGUUUCUAGGCCUUUUGGAGAGUUCGGAUUGAAGCAACGUUUGCCUUAGCUAAUACAACAUCUAAGGUAUUGUUAUUAUUCUCACCUUUAUUUAUUAAAUAUAUUGAGCACAUGGUAGGUCCACCAAAAUGUAUGCAAAAUCUAUUCACCAGAGGUAUUCGCAUAAAGUGAAUUUUUGUGAGAGACUAUUCUUCAACUGUGAAAACUACUUUGGUAGUUCUCAAACCCAUUACAAUUGAUUGGUGCUUGUGUUUUUCUAUUAGAAAGAUAUCUUCUGUAAAAUCUUUGUGAACUACAUUUUUGGAAAUGCAAAUGCUUUGUGUGGUGGUGAUUGUGCUUAUUUGCUUGGUCUUCUAGCAUUUCAGUGAAAUGAUUUAUUUUGACUUGUGCUUAUGACUAACUUGUUGACAGAGAAACUAGGCCAUUUAUGGAUGCACUGAUAUGAAUCCUAUAAUUUUUCUCUUAAUUGACAUGUUGAACUUUUUGGAAGAUAUUUUUUUUUUAUUUGAUUUGUCACAUAUUGUGCUUUAUUAGUUGGAAAUGUUUUGGUUUGUGGACCAUGUUGCACUUACCAGUUCUCAAUAUUGAUAUAUGAUAUAUACACACUAUUGUACUGGAAAUUGAUUGAGUUGGUUUGCUCCAUCUGGUGAAAUUUUAUAAAAGUCGAAGGUUUGAUGAGAAUAUUGGACUCCCCAAGUGAGAAUCUAUCUAAGUUUGAAAUUGUUCUGAUAUCGUUGCUGCAGCACUUUGUUAACGUUUUUGUUUUCUGCUGAUCAUUCCAGGCCAAAUGAUAUCCGUGAUUUUUCAGAGUAUUUGUUCUUGAGGUAAUGCCUUGAGGUAAGGUAUGUAAUGAGUUGUGUGAAGUGGGAUGUGAUAAUAAUUUUGCCCUCGCUUCAUGUGAUGAAAUCCCACAUAAUUUGCCCUUGCUUUAUGUGAUGAAAUCUUUGGGUGGUUUGUUUAUUUAGUGUUUUUCUAUUUCUUUUUAUAUGCUAAUUUUCAUAGUUCUAGAGCAAGUCUUUCUCUAGUCAUUUUGAAAUACUUCCACAUGCUGCUUCUUAAGCCAAGAUUGUCUUGCCCUAAUGAACAAGUUAAAUGGAUUUGCGUUGCUUGGAGUCUCAGUGUAAUAUAUGUGUUUUAGAACUUAGAUUGAUAAACAAAUUUGAACAAAUACAGUGGAAUAAGAAUAAAGAGAAGAUUAAAAAAAAAAGAGUAGAAAUAAAGAAAAGGAUGGUGAAACUUUAGGAGAAUAGGGGAAUCAAGAGAAGAGGAUAGAAUUUUGAUGGAUUUUAUUUAAUUAUGUAACGGAGGUUUUGUGUUGUUAGAUGUUGUGCGUUAAUUAAUUUGUAAUCUUGGAAAAAUACUUUAUCAUGAAUUGGGUUAAUUGUAAGUGGUCAAUACACUAAUAUAUAUUCUUCUAGCACUCAUCUAAAUGUAAUAUGUGUUUCAGGUGAUGUUGGUGGCUCUUGGGAAUUUACUAUCAGUGUUCUUUUUACGAAUUAAUUGUUUUUCUAAUGAUGGGGUAGUGAUUGAAUAUUGUAGAGAAUUUAUGAGUUAUUCUUACGGAUUUGAUUCACCAUGUAUUUUGAUGAUACUAUUUGUUGGAAGUUUCAAGUAAUUGAAAUUUUUAGUAUAUGGUGAUAUUUGGUAUUUGAUAGUUUUUAUGAAUUUGAAUGUAAUUUUUAUUUCAGUUAAUUCAAAUUUUAAAAUGUGGGUUUUGUUAUUUCUAUUUCAAAAUUCUGGAAUUUAAAUAAUAUUAAUUAGUAUUAUUAUAAUUUCAAAAUUAAAAAUAAUAAUUUUAUUUUUUUAAACCUUAAAUCUCAUGACAGAGAAUGUGAAUCAUUAAUAUAUGAAAGAUUUUGAAAAAGCCCACCAAAUUCAAUAUAAUUUAAAUUACCUGCUAAAAUUUCCAAUUAAUUCUCAAAAGCCUUGCAAAACGACGUCGCUUGGUUCGUGACAUAUGCGUGAUAGAUAUACACUGUCACAGAAACAUGUGAUAGAUAAAAUGUUGUCAUAGAUUUAUGAAAGGGGCUACAAUGACAGAUGGAAACUCUGUCAUAAGAGGGGUCGGAUGACAGAUAUUCUCUGUCAUGAUAGCCCAUUUUUCUAGUAGUGCUCAUUUUCCUUGCCAAUAUACAUUUCCAAAACUUUACAUAAUUUGGCAUUUGUUCCAAUGCUUCCACAAAAGGAAUGUUGAUAUGCAGUUGUUUCAAUACUUCCACCACCUGUCCCCAAGUUCCCACCACCACCUCACCCUUGCGUCUAUGCAUCUCCCCCUCCUCCUUACUACUACUAGAAAGCGGCCAUGAAUAGCUCAUGCUUUUAUGGUAAUCUCAUUUAUUUUUAAAACUGUACAUGUAAAGACUAGUAGUUCAGAAUUACAUUAAGCAUCAAAUUUAAGCACCGUGUUCUAUUUAAUUGCGUUCCUAUUGAUUAAGUGACAAAUAAAAGAGAUUGAUUAAUUUGUUCUUGUAGGAGAGGCGAAUGGUAUCCGAAUAAAGAAAGCAAGGGUUUGAUGGAAGGCUUACUUGGAGCAAGAUAGCGAUCAAUCGAGUUGCUGCGUUUUAUUCUCUUUUAUCUUUGUUUUUUAAGAAAAAUAAACUGCCACACGUAGAAACAGAAAAGUUCUUGUCAUUUUCAUGCAUAUGGAUUGUUGCUGUGUGUUUCAAUCAAUUCUCUGGCGUGUCAUUUGUAAUUUUCAACCUUCAUGCAUGCAAAUGCGAGACCUCUUUCGUAUAAUAAAAUUAGGGGAUUGUCACUUUCCCCCUACAGUAAUUAACAUAUAUUAUUUAUUCUCUUACUAUUUUUAUAAUGGCCAAAAACCCACUGACAACAUAAGUUUACAAUAUUACCUUUAUUUUUAACUACUCUUUUAUUUACAUUUAUUAUAAAUUAAAUAAAUUACAUGAAUAGAAACUAAAUAAAAAAAUUAAGUAUUAAAAAUAAGAAAUAUAUGUUGAUAUGAGGAAAAAAAUUAAUAAUAAAAUUUUUUUCUUGUAAUUAUUUAUUUUGUGAACAUUUUCUUAUAACAUUUUGUAAUAUUUUAAAAUUAAAUGUAAAAAGUAUAGGCAAAAUAUUUUAUUAUUUAUCUUAUAAUAAAUUGUUAUUUGUCAUUCAAAUUUUCUUAUAAUAAUUUUUUUUAUCAUUUUAUAAUAACUUUCUUAUAUAUUUAUUAUAAGAAAAUUUUCACAAAAUAAAUAAGUACAAGAAAAAAAAUUUAUUAUUAAUUUUUUUCUCAUAUCAAAACAUAUAAUAAUUUUUUUCUCAUAUCAAAACAUAUAUUUCUUGUUUUUAAUUCCUAAUUUUUUAUUUGAUUUCUAUUCAUGUGAUUUAUUUAAUUUGUAAUAAAUAUAAAUAAAAGAGUAAUUGAAAAUAAAGGUAAUGUUGUACACUUAUGCUAUCAGGGGAAGUUUUGGCCAUUAUAAAAAUAGUAUGGGAAAAAUAGUAUAUGUUGAUUACUAUAGGAGGGAAAUUAGCAAUCUCCCAAUAAAAUUAAUAUACUUCCCAAGACCGUCUUAUCUUGCGUUGACUUUUUACGUUCCUUUGGUGAUGAUUUUGACGUUUGAAAUUGAUGACUAUUGUUUUUGUAAACUCUGCAUGGAUUUUUCGUGCAACUACAGAGCGCAUUAACGAGAGACUUAUUCAUGAGGGUCCAUGCAGAUCAGUGUCUAAUUAACGAAUAAUUAAUAUAACUUAAAAAAUAUAUAGUUAACAAUUUUUAUGGGUCAUGCUCAAUUGCAGAUGUUCGUACAAAAUUUCUUGCUAAUGUAUACUUGAGUAUGAUAAUAAGUUUUAAUCAUUAUUAAUAAUUCACUUGAUAAUAUUAAACAAAUUUUCAUAUCAAUUAAGUUACAAAAUUUCUAUGACAAAUUUCCACGUACUGGAACCAUGCAAAAGGGCUUUAUUCAAACAAAGCUGCAUAGCCGUUGGCAAUUAAAAUAAUUUAUCAAUUAAGUUAAGUAGUAAGAAUUUUAUUGUGGAUUCGAUUAAUUAUUUCAAGGAAAAUUCUAUCGAUAAUGCCGUAACGAAAAUUACACAUAAAAUUAGUAAAUGUAAAGUAAAACCAGUAAAUUCAUAAAAAAUUAUUAAUUAUUUAAAAAAUUAAUAUUGUUUUUACAUAAUUUUAGUGCAAAAUAUUUUAUUUAGUUACAAAAAAAAUUUCUUUAAUUAAACAAAAAAAUUAUACAGAAAAAAAGUGGAAUACGUUUUAUUGAAUUGGUUACCAUAAAUUCUGUAAUUAUUCUAGGACAUUUGUAUACAUUUUUUUCUCAUUUUCUAUAAUGACAUCUAUUUAUUACACAUGUUAAUUAAGCGCAAUUAUUUAUCUUGAUGUGGAUCAAGUAAAAAUAAAAGAAAAGAUAUAUCAAUCAAAUUAGAUAUAAUUUUGAAUACUAUGUAUACUUUAUGUAGUUUCAAACUUUUUACUUGUAUUUGGAGACCAUUUAAGAUUGUUGUUGAAGAAGUGUAGAAAGAUGUAAAAUAACGUCAUCUUACAACAAUUAUAAUGAUAUCUAUUUAUUACACAUGUUAAUUAAGCACAAUUAUUUAUCUUGAUGUGGAUCAAGUAAAAAUAAAAGAAAAGAUAUAUCAAUAAAAUUAGAUCUAAUUUUGAAUAGGGAGAUUGCCAAUUUUCCCCCUACAGUAAUCAACAUAUACCAUUUUCCCCCCUACUGUUUUUAUAAUGGCCAAAAACCCCCCUGAUAGCAUAAGUGUAUAUUAUUACUCUUAUUUUCAACUACUCUUUUAUUUAUAUUUGUUAUAAAUUAAAUAAAUCACAUGAAUAGAAACCAAAUAAAAAAUUAAGCAUUAAAAACAAGAAAUAUAUGUUUUGAUAUGAGAAAAAAAUUAAUAAUAAUUUUUUUCUUGUACUUAUUUAUUUUGUGAAAAUUUUCUUAUAAUAAAUAUAUAAGAAAGUUAUUAUAAAACGAUAAAACCAAUUAUUAUAAGAAAAUUUGAAUGACAAAUAAAAAUUUAUUAUAAUAUAAAUAAUAAAAUAUUUUGUCUAUACUUUUUACAUUUAAUUUUAAAAUAUUACAAAAUGUUUAUUAUAAGAAAAUGUUCACAAAAUAAAUAAUUACAAGAAAAAAAUUUUAUUAUUAAUUUUUUUUGCUCAUAUCAAAUCAUAUAGUUCUUAUUUUUAAUACUUAAUUUUUUUAUUUAUUUUCUAUUCAUGUAAUUUAUUUAAUUUAUAAUAAAUAUAAAUAAAAGAGUAGUUAAAAAUAAGGGUAAUAUUGUAAACUUACACUGUCAGGGGGUUUUUGGCCAUUAGAAAACAACAAGGGGGUAAAUGGUAUAUGUUAAUUACUGUAGAGGGGAAAGUGACAAUCCCCCUUUUGAAUAUUAUGUAUACCUUAUGUAGUUUCAAACUUUUUACUUGUAUUUGGAGACCAUUUAAAGUUGUUGUUGAAGAAGUGUAGAAAGAUGAAAAAUAACUUCAUCUUACAACAACUGUGAAAGAUAUUAAAAUAAUAUUUUUUCAAAAUCCAAUUUUUAGCAUAAAUUUCAUCCUUAAUUAAACAUCACAUGUAUUAUAUAAAUGAAAAACUAACAUUAUUCAAUUUAAAUUAAAAAAUAAUAAAUAUAUGAGGUAAUAAAUAUUAUAACGAGUUUUUAUUUUAAAAUUGUAAACUUUUGUUUCUGACAGUAACUCUUAUAUUAAUUUACUUAUUUUGCCUUUUAUUCAUAAGUUUUAUGCAUAAUCUACAAACUUUAUGUUUUAUUUUGCAUUUAAUGUUGAUUUACCUUUUUUAUAUUAUAUUUAUAAGUUUUCAUUUGAUUUACCAGUAAUACAUCAAUUUAUCAAUUUUAUAGUAAUUUACUUAUUUUACCUUCUUUUUACAAUUCUUAUGUUUCAUUUUCAAAAUUUAUGUUUUAUUUUACAGUUAUUGAUGAUUUACUAGUUUUAUAUUAUGUUUGCAAGUUUUUGUUUUAUUUACUAGUAAUAAAUUAAUGGGUAAUUUUUAAUUUAGUCCUCAUGUUUUCGAGAAAAAAAUUCAGAGACUAGAAAUUUACUAAAUGAAUCAAUUAAAUUAUUUCAAGCACAAACUAAUGUCAAUCAAGUCCUUAACUUAAUUGCUUAGUUAAAAAUAUUAACAACAUUGAGGAUAUUUUAGUAAAACAACAAUUGAGCCCUUCCUCAUUCUUUAUUUUUGACAUGUGGCAAUAGUUUAAAGUAAAUUCAAUUAACCUAAUUAAGUUAAGGAUCAGUUCUUGCAAACGAAAAAAAAAAAAAAACCUACAAAAACUGCCAUAAUCUUCGUGUGAGAGGAGAGAUCGAGAGAAUGUGGGAUGGUGCCAAAAAUGUUGUAUAAAUCUACUAUGAUUUUGACCAAAGCUUUGUUAGCAUUUGUUGAGUUCAAGUACUGGAGAGAACCUAAUUAUAAAGGUCAGUAACUCUAUUUUUUUAGUGAUUUUUGCAAGCGUUUUUUGAUAAAAUUGUUUCCAUAUUUAGUGAUCGUUGUGAAAAAUUAGGUUUUUCAAGUCUAUUUUUCUAAAUGACAAACUAUGUUUAAUUACUGGUGGUUUUUUUUUUAUUGAAUGUGGUAUUUUGUUAAUACAUUGUUUUUAAUUUGCUCUUCAUGUAAUUAUUAGACCAAAUACGCCAUAAUUAUAUUUGUAUUCAUUUCAACCAAUUGGUAUUGUUAUAUUAAUAAGAUUGAAUUCAUUGUAUUUGCUUCUUUGUUCAUGCAAAAAUUGAAUUCUAUGUGUUCUUAUGAGUGGUAAUUUUUCUAUAUAUUAGAAUAAAUUCACAAUAGUUGCUAAUUUCUUUCUUUUUGCUGGGUUAUUUUUUCUUUUUAGUUUUUAUUUUUUAUAUGUAUUAGAUUGAAUUUGCUUUUGUACUUUUUUUAGCCGAAUUACAUGUAUAUUUCAUUUAGGUUAAGUUUUUUUGUUCUUUGCUAAAUAAAAUUGUAUUGGUUUAUCCUUUUUUGUUGCAAUACUUUUUGUUUUAAAUUGAUGCAAGUAGCCAUGUUACCUUUUGUUUUUCAGUUAAAAUUAAUGGGGUGGUGUAUGAGAUAGGAUAUAGAGAACCAGAGGAAUAUAAGAUUAUUAGGUUGUUUCAUGAAAUUCAAGAAUUCAUGGUUAAGCAUGGACAUAAUGAAAUGGAUAUGAUUGAAAUUUCUAUUGUAUUGCCAUGGACUACAAGUAGGCAGAAAAAGCUAAUUUCAAACGAUAGUGAAUUGUAUUGGGUUUUUUAGGAGUUUUUUUUUUUAUCAAUAGUUGUCAUGUCAUUGAGUUUGAGGUGCACACUGGGUCAGGUGGUCAGUCAUGUCAUGAAAAUGUUGUAAUAGGAUCUGAAAAUCUUAUCAAUAUAGCGGUUGGGUGGGUAGUGAUAAGUUUGAAAAAUUUAGUGAGGAUGGCUUUAUCGGAGGGCUCUCAUCUAAUGAAGAGAAUGGUCUCUCACAUAUGUAUAAAUCCAUUGUUGAUAAUGAGUAGAAACCAAAUCCAAAUAGUUUAAUUAGUCUAAAAGUAGGAAAUACAUUUGAAUCUGUUGCAUUAUUAAGAGAGGUUAUAAUGAAGUAUGCAAUCGAAGAGGGUUUUUAGUUGAAUAGGAUUAAAAAUGAUGGUGUUAGGUAUUAUGUCAAUCUAAAAUGCACUUGGAAACUUAAUGCUUCAUCGAUGGUUGACGGGAUAACUUUUAAAAUUAGGUAUAUUAAAGGGAAACAUGAUUGUCAGAUUAAAUAAGUUAACAAAGAUGCAACAGCACAUUGGAUGAUGUACAUGUCAUAAUGAGAGAGCUAAAAGAUAAACAUAGGAUUGAAUGUGAUAAACAAGAACUAUGCAGGGCAAAAGAAAUUGCACUAAAAAACCUAGGUCUUGACCAUGUUGCUUGCUAUGGAAAGCUUUUGAAAUAUGCUCACAUUCUAAUGAAAAUGAGUAGAGGUGCUUGUGUCAAGCUAAAGUUGAUAGGCCAUUGUCAAAUAGCCUAGUUUUUCAAAGGUUUUUUUAUCAUUUCCCGCACUUAAAGUGGGGUACCUAACUGGGUGUAGACCUUUCAUAAGAUUGGAUGGGUGUCACUUGAAUGGGCCAUAUAGGGGAGUAUUGUUAUCUGUUGUUGCAUUAGAUGCUGACAGUAGAAUUUUGCCACUGGCUUUUUGCAUAUGUGAGGCAGAAAACUAUGAUAGUUGGGGUUAUUUUUUUUAUCUUUUUUGUAUGAAUUCAUUGGGGCCGAUGAUCAUAGACCUGUGACUAUUAUUAGUUAUAGACAAAAAGGUCUUUUAUGGCGACUAAAAAAAUAUUAGCCUAAUGCUAGCACUAGAUAUUGUGCUAGGCAUAUCUUUGCCAAUUGGAAGUGCAGGUUUCCUGGUUUGAAUGUGAUGGGGUUAUUCUGGAAAGCUUGUAGGGCUGCAAAUCAAUAUGACUUUGAGAGGGCAAUGAGUUAAAUUAGGGCUAAAGACCAAAAUUGUUGUUGCUUAAAGAUUGUGGGAAUAUGAGAUAUUUCCUUGGAAACCAGCAUUGGCUCUAAGUUAUUGCUUAAAGAUGUCAAACAUGUACCAUAUAUUCUUCUUAAUUUGAUCUCUACAGGCAAGCUUGAUGAUGAUGGUUAUACCAACUAAUUUGGUGAAGGAGUAUGUAAGCUCACCAAAGGCUCCUUAGUGUUAGUUAAAGAGAGGAAAGUAAACACCCUCUAUGUGUGAUAACUCUAUGAAACGAGAGUUAUUAUAGAAAUUCUAAACUUAAAUCAAUAUUACUUACAGAGUAAAUGAUGUGUUUCUAUUGUAUUUUUGUUACAUUGUGUAUAAACAUUCAUUUUAGUUUAGUCUUAAUAAAUUUUGCUUAAUUUAGAAUAAUUCGUGCUUAAAUUGUGUGCAUAAUUAUAGGUGUCUAGAAGCUCAUAUCUCAUGGAAGGAGUGUUGAUGCAAUAGGCUUGUAAAAAUGAGGAAGAACAUGGCUACAAAAGAAUUGAAACAAAUCUGGAAUAAUGUAGUGUUGUAGCCGUUCUUGUAGCAACCAUUGCUGUAGCAAUCCUGGAACAACGAUAGAGAAAAUUUAGCACGAGAUACUUGUAGAAUCAAGAUCUGCAAUUUCUUAAUUUGACUUAUGCGCGCCCUGGGCUUCUGUUUACCCUAGUUUUCAGUUAUAAAAAGAGCACGCAUCAUAUGGUAAAAGGGGCGGUGAAUUAACAGCAAAGAAAUCAAGAGGAAAAGAAUGAAAAAUCAGAAUUCAAGGGAGAACAAGUCUGCACCAGUGAAGAUAUUGGCAUAACUAUUUGGAUUCAAUUUUCAUCGUUCUUUACUUAUCCCUUUUCUUACUCUUUGAUUGAACCGAUGGAUUUCAUCGCUGAUACUUUGUUGUUUGUUUUUCUUUUCCAAAGUAUGAACUAAAUUUGAUUGUAAUUGAGUGACAAACAAUCUCAAUGGGUUCUUGACUGUUCUUAUGAGUUAUUAAAAGAUUGCUGUAGCAUUUUGCUGUAAUAGCUUAUAUUAGAAUUAUUAUUUCGGUUGACCUCCCAUUUAAUGGUUCAAGUUAAGAGAGAGCCACAAAAUGGCAUGUCUUAGUGGAAAUUAUUAGAGUAAUACUUGAUCUUAAUUUAAGUUUUCUGGAUUGAGUUUAACUUGAGCCCCAAAAGAGCCACACUUGAGUUAAGAUUUGUGAAGAACUAGAUAUAGGGAUUCACCUUAUAGGGUAGAGGGGGUGUAUGUUCAUAAUGCCAUACCUUAGGUGAAAUGACAACUGGUCAUUGUUAGAGUGCUUAAGGGUAUGAGAAGUCCAACAAGCGACAGCUGAGGAUGCAAAAUAAUUUUGCACUGUGCUGUUGGAAUUGCUGUAAUAACUGGUGUUUAUUUGAACAGAACAGUCAGCCCAUGAAUAGAGUUUGAUCAUUCAGCUACCUCAUUCUCAUUAAAUUCUUCUUUACGCAAUUCAUCUAAUUUACUUUAUUACUGCAUUUAUUUUAUUAAAAUUGUUAAUUUCGGUAGUAAUAAACUUUAAUUAGAUUUCUCUUUAGAUAAAAGAAAUUUGCACUGUCGUGAUUGCUAUAGCAUUUCUAGUAAUAUCAGUUCAUGUGGAGACGAUCUUGAAUAUUCAUCAUUUUAUUACUUGUUGUGUACACUUGCACAUGAUAUCAAUAGCAAUUGAGUUAAAUUAAAUAACAAGUUUUUGGCGCCGUUGCCGGAGAUUGAUUGUUUAUUUUUGAAGUGUGAAGUCAAUCUUGACAAAUGCCAACUUGAUCUAAUUCAUUCUAUUUAUUGACAGAUCAUGACUUGCAUGGGCAAAGGCAGAUCUGUUGAAUUUCAAUUUGAUCCUGAGAUUGAAAGGACUGUAAGGAGAUUGCGAAGAGAGUGAAGAAAUUCAAAAACUGUUUCAAAAAUGGAUAACUUGCAAGAUGUGGGAAACUUGGAUCCUCACGGGCCACUACAACCUGUCAAUGUUCAAGAGGGGCAAAUGGGCACGUUAAUCAAAGACAACCAAGCAACAACAAUAUCAUUUACAUGGAAGACGAUAGAGAUAGGGUUAUCAGAGAUUAUGUUGUGUUAACUCCUUAAGUUGUACAUCUUGGAAUAGUCAGACCUGAAGUGGAAGCCGCCAACUUUGAACUUAAACCGGUAAUGUUUCAAAUGCUACAAAUAGUGGGUCAAUUUAAUGGACUGUCAUCUGAAGAUCCUCAUCUCCAUCUUAAGUUUUUUUUGGAAGUAAGUAAUGCUUUUAAAACUGCUGGAACAACGCAUAAUGCUUUGAGACUGAGGCUUUUUCCUUACUCCUUAAGAGAUCGAGCAAGAGCAUGGUUGAAUUCCUUACCAUCUGAUUCCAUCACUACAUGGAAUGACUUGGCUGACAAAUUCUUAAUGAAAUAUUUUCCACCAACCAAGAAUGAAAAAUUGCAAAAUGAGAUCACCUCUUUUCAUCAACUUGAAGAUGAGAGCUUGUUUGAGGCUUGGGAGAGAUUUAAAGAGUUUCUCAGAAGAUGUCCUCAUCAUGGCAUUCCCUGUUGCAUACAGCUAGAAACCUUUUACAAUGGGUUGAAUCCAAGUACAAGAUUGAUUGUCGAUGCUUCAGCAAAUGGAGCCCUAUUAUCCAAAUCUUACACUGAAGCUUAUGAAAUUUUGGAGAGAAUUCCUAACAAUAACUACCAGUGGCCAUCAACUGAAAAACUGUAGCAAGAGAAGCAGCAGGGGUACAUAACAUAGAUGCAAUUACAGCACUGUCAGCUCAAGUAACAUCAUUGACUAACAUGGUAAAAGCCAUGACUUCUACUUCUACAGUAGUAAAGCAAGUUGCUGAACUAUCUUGUGUGUAUUGUGGUGAGGAGCAUGUAUUUGACAAACUGUCUAGGAAAUCCAGCAUCAGUAAACUAUGUGGGAAACUUCAACCGACAGCCCUAGAACAACCCAUAUUCAAGUACUUACAACCCUGGAUGGAAUCAACACCCAAAUUUCUCAUGGAGCAAUCAAAAUCAGCAUGCUUCAGCACCUAGUGGACAGAACAAACAUGCUCAUCCACUUGGUUUUCAUCAGCAAAAUUAAGAGCAAAAACACACUAGCCAUGAUCAAAUCACCUCAUUGGAAACACUUUUUAAGGAAUGUAUCGUAAAGAAUGAAGCAAUUGUGCAAAAUCAAGCUGUAUCUCUGAGAAACCUGAAAAACCAAAUUGGACAGUUUGCCACAGCAAUGAGUAGUAGAUCUUAGGGAAGUUUACCCAGCAAAACAGAAGAUCCAAGAAGAGAGGUAAAAAACAUUGUAAAGUAAUCAACUUAAGAUAUGGGAAGAAUGUUGAUAUUGCUGUUGAUGUGACUAAAAAGAGGUUGGAACUUAACUCCUCACAAGAACCACCUCAAGAUGAAAUGAUGUUACAGCAACCCAGCCACUAAGAUACUGGCACUAGUGGUCAAGCUACAGCAACCUUGGAAGAAAAUCACCCAAUACCUAUUGAAGAAGAUGUUGCAACACCAGUGGUGACAAAUUACAAUAAAUCAAAUGAGCAGAUAUUGGUACCUCUUGAAGUUGUACAACAAUUUAGGCAUCCACCUCCUUUCCCACAGAGAUUCCAGAAACAAAAACAAGACUAAUAGUUUAGCAAAUUCCUGAAAGUGCUGAAACAGUUACACAUCAACAUACCUUUUGUGGAAGCAUUAGAGCAAAUGCCUAAUUAUGUGAAAUUUCUAAAAGAUAUUUUAACAAGAAAAAGAAGGUUGGGAGAAUUUGAAACUGUUGCUUUAACACAGGAAUGCAGUCACAUGUUUCAGAGUAAGAUUCCUAAAAAAUUAAAGGAUCCAGGAAGCUUCACAAUAUCAUGUUCAAUUGGAACUAAGUACAAUGGCAGAGCACUCUGUGACUUGGAGCCAGCAUUAAUCUAAUGUCAUUAUCUCUAUUUAAGCAAUUAGGAGUAGACUUUGAGUCUGAUAAAGAGGUACCAAUUAUAUUUGGAAGACCUUUCCUGGCAACCAGGAAGACUCUGAUAGAUGUUCAGAAAUGAGAGCUAACCAUGAGGGUGAAUGACCAACAAGUCACCUUCAAUGUAUUAGAAGCUAUGAAGAGUCCUGAUGAGGCAGAAGAUUAUAAUUUUUUUAGUGUUGUGGACCUUGUUGUGGCAGACAGAAUAAAUAGAUGCUGCAGUAAAAAGGUUAUCAAAGCUGCCACCUUUGAAAGCUUUGAAGAAGAAAAUGUUACAGCAAACCAGAUAGAUUGGAUGGUAGAAAGGCAAUCUAAAAGACAUAGCAGAUUUAUCGAACCUCUAAAUCUUUCAAACAGGGACAUAAAGACAACUUUACCAUCUAUUGAAUCAACUCCUACUCUUGAAUUAAAAUUGUUACCUUCACAUUUGAAAUAUUCAUAUCUUGGUGAGAACAAUACACUUCCGGUAAUCAUUUCAUAUUCUUUAGAUGCAGAUCAAGAAAGAAGUCUGGUAUAUGUGCUUAGGAAAUAAAGAAAAACAAUUGGAUGGACUAUGACAGACAUUAAACGGAUCAGCCCAUCCAUAUGCAUACAUAAAAUUCUGUUAGAAGACUGCUAUAGCAAUUCAGUAGAGCAACAGAGAAGGCUAAACCCCAUUAUGAAGGAAGUUGUAAAGAAAUAAAUCAUCAAAUGGCUGGAUGUUGGGAUCAUAUACCUGAUAUCAGACAGUUCAUGGGUGAGCCCAGUACAAUGUGUUCCAAAGAAAUAAGGAAUAACAGUAAUAGAAAAUGAAAAGAAUGAACUUAUUCCUACAAGAACAAUGACUGGAUGAAGGGUAUGUAUGGAUUAUAAGAAGCUCGACAAAGCCACACGGAAGGAUCACUUCUACUUUCAUUUAUAGAUCAAAUGUUAGACAGAUUUGCUGGAAAAUAAUAUUAUUGUUUCCUAAAUGGGUAUUUAGGUUACAACCAAAUUGUUAUACCCCCAGAAGAUCAGGAAAAGACUACAUUCACCUGUCCUUAUGGAACUUUUGCCUUUAAAAGAAUGCCCUUUGGUCUGUGUAAUGCUCCAGCAACUUUCCAGAGAUGUAUGAUGUCUAUUUUCUCAGAUAUGGUGGAGCAAACAUUGGAAGCCUUCAUGGAUGAUUUCUCAGUUUUUGGAGAAACAUACACUGAUUGUUUACAUAACUUGGAAGAAGCUCUUAAAAAAUGUGAGAUGACUAACUUAGUACUCAAUUGGGAAAAAUGCCACUUCAUGGUGCAAGAAGGCAUAAUGUUGGGUCAUAGAGUGUCCAAGAAUGGCAUAGAGGUAGAUAAAGCAAAAAUAGAAGUGAUAGAUAAACUGCCACCUCCCACUUCAGUCAAGGGUAUUAUAAGUUUUUUGGGACAUGUUGAAUUCUACAGAAGAUUCAUAAAAGACUUCUCCAAAGUAGCUAAACCAUUAUGCUCACUACUAGAACAUGACAAGCCUUUUCAUUUUGAUAAAGACUGUCUUUAAGCUUUUAAAGAAUUGAAGAAAAUUUUGAUCAUUGCACCAAUGGUUAUAACACUAGAUUUGACUCUAUCUUUUGAGCUGAUGUGUGAUGCCAGUGACCACUCUGUUGGGGCAGUGCUGGGGCAGAGAAAGAAUAAGAUUUUCCACUCUAUAUACUAUGCCAGUAAAACUCUUGUUCAAGCUCAGAUUAAUUACACCACUACAGAAAAAGAGCUGCUAGUAGUAGUAUUUGAUUUCAAUAAGUUUAAAGCUUACUUGGUGGGUACUAAAGUGACAAUCUACACAGAUCAUGCAGCCAUCAAGCACUUAAUCUCAAAGAGAGAUGCCAAACCAAGAUUAAUAAGAUGGGUAUUAUUGCUUCAAGAGUUUGAUUUGGAAAUUAAGGAUAGAAAGGGGACUGAAAAUCAAGUAGCAAACCAUCUAUCGAGGCUGAAAGCAAAUACGAGCACAUUGACUAAACAAGACAUCACUGAAACAUUUCCUGAUGAACAACUGUUAGUGCUAUAACAUGCACAGAUGCUACAGCAACCGAGAUCUCCAUGGUAUGGAGAUUUUGCUAACUACUUAGUAAGUGGAUUGCUACCACCUGGGUUGAAUUUUCAGUAGAAAAAGAAAUUUCAUUUUCAGUAGAAAAAGAAAUUUCAUUUUCAGUAGAAAAAAAAUUUUCAUUUUCAGUAGAAAAAAAAUUUUCAUUUUCAGUAGAAAAAGAAAUUUUCAUUUUCAGUAGAAAAAGAAAUUUUUUCAUGAUGUUAAAAGCUACCAGUGGGAUGAUCCAUACUUGUAUAAGUUAUGCUUAGAUCAGGUAAUCCGAAGAUGUGUUUCAGAGGAAGCAAUUUCACAUAUACUGCAAUAUGGCCAUGCUGCAGCAUAUGAAGGACAUUUUGGUGGACAAAGAACAACUGCUAAAGUUCUACAAUCAGGUUAUUACUGGCUUUCUAUUUUUAAGGAUACUUAUGAGUUUGCUAAACGUUGUGACAGAUGCCAAAAGACAGGAAACAUAACUCAAAGACAUGAAAUGUCAUUAACAAACAUUCUGGAAGUGGAGAUUUUUUAUGUAUAGGGAAUAGACUUCAUGGGCCUUUUCCCACCAUCCUUUGAGAAUUUUUAUAUCCUGGUUGCUGUGGAUUAUGUCUCCAAGUGGGUAGAAGCUGCAGCAUUACCUAUCAACGAUGCAAGAGCAAUAGUGAAUUUUCUUCAGAAAAAUAUUUUUUCCAGGUUUGGCACUCCACGAGCAAUUAUUAGUGAUGAGGGUACUCAUUUCUGCAACAAAGCAUUUGCUGCAGCAAUGGCCAAAUAUAGAGUCAAACACAAAAUUGCGACAGCAUAUCACCCACAAUCCAAUGGCCAGGCAAAAGUAUCUAAUAGGGAAAUUAAGAAGAUUCUAGAAAAGGUAGUGAAUCCUUCAAGAAAGGAUUGGUCAUUGCGAUUACAUAAAUCUUUAUAGGCUUUCAGAACAGCAUAGAAGACACCACUUGGCAUGUCUCCCUACCAAAUUGUGUAUGGAGCACAAAGCAUAUUGGGCACUGAAGCAAUUAAAUUAGGAUAUACAUGCUGCAACAGAGCAGAGGAAACUUCAACUAUGUGAACUUGAUGAAUUACGGUUAUUCUCAUAUGAAAAUGCAAGAAUCUAUAAGGAGAGAACAAAACAAUGGCAUGACAAGCACAUCCAAUAAAGAAAAUUAAUCCCUGGUCAACUAGUUCUGCUCCAUAAUACUAGGUUAAGACUAUUUCCAGGAAAGCUGAAAUCUAGAUGGUCUGGACUUUUCAAGCUGCUCAGAAUUUACCCUCAUGGGGCUGUUGAACUCUUAGAUGGAAAGACAGGCCAAGAAUUCAAAGUUAAUGGGCACAGAGUUAAGCAUUACAUGCAUUCAGUUACAGAUUGUUCAAAUGAGGUCGUACUCCUUAGUAAACCGGCAUUGUGAGCAUUCAAGAAAGGUCACGUUGAAGGACCUUAAAUCAAACAUUGAAUGGGAGGCAACCCAUUGCUGAGGCAGUCAUUUCAAAUGAAGUGGAUCCUCCAUGUUUUUGUUGUAGUAUUUAUUUAUUUAUUAUUUUUCUUAGUUAGGAUUGUUUAAUUUUUAUCUUUUAUUGUUUUAUUUUAAAAAAAAACGAAACAUGCCAAGUCACGCAAUUCUUAGAGUUGGAUUCAAUACUGACAAUUGGUGUUGUAAUAUUAACAGGUUACAAAGGCAAGUUACUUGACAGCAACCAUCUGAGGAGAUUGUUGUGCAGAUUGCUAGAGCAUACAUUUUGUUGCUGCAACAACCAAUUUUAUUAUUACAGUAACUUAACUACGGAGCCUCACAUUUUACCGUUGGAGAUAACAUGUGACAGCUAGUUGGGUGAACUCAGAUAAAGAUUGGGGAAGAAUGCAUAAUCUCUUAAAUAACUGCAUCAAUAUCUCUUUCCUAUUUUUAUGGGAUAUGCUUAAUAAAUUCAAAAAUUCUUCCCUAAUUUAUCUCUUUUACCAAAUUUAUUUUAUUUAUUUUGCACCUAUAUAAGAGUUUCAUUGUGCAUGUUGACCUCUAACACUAUUUUCUUUUCCCUUCACAGUCACAACCCCUCUAUUUUAUAACCUCUGCUCUUCGUUUCACUCUUGAACAUAUUACCACAGUUAUCCUACUACUGCAGUAAUGCCAAGGUAUAAAAGGACAGCCAGCCGACUAAACGAUCUAUCACAAUUUUAAAGUUACCAUGCGGAAGAGAAGUAUGAAGAAUUUAUUGAACCGCGCAAGAUUUUGGAAGAAAAAGGGCUUCAGUUCCCACCUCAACCCUCUAGAAUUGUGCAAUCAUUAUACGAUGCUGCAGCAAAGCACGGGUGGCUGGAGUUUUGUAACCACCCCCGAGAUCCUGUGUUGGAGCUAUUUGCAGCACUUGGAGGACCACCUACACCAAUUUGUUGUAUAUAUAAAAGUACCCAUAACAAUUUCCCUGAUUCACUGCUACAACAGUACAAUUUUGGUACCUCCAUUAUAGAAGUCAGUGAAGAUGUUGCUGACACAGAUAAACAUGAGGAAGAAACAGCAGCAGAACAGCAAGCAGAUGCUGAUAUAGAUGCUGAUAACCAGUCAGACCAGCAUGAAGAAUAAUGUGUCCAGUCUACAAUUGAUAGUUCCCCGACAGAGGAGGAGGAAAAGCAUGAGAAAGAACUCGAAGAACCCUCAGCCAGGACCUUUUCCAAGUCCAGGAAAAAGCACAUCAUACGAGAAAAGGAAGAUGAACCUGCAGAGGAGCCUCCCAUUCCAUUCCUCUCUCGAAAGGGCAAAGAGAAAGUAAUUACCCCUCCUGCAUCUGACGAUGAAGCCGAGCACAUUGAUGCAGAAUUGGAAGUUGCAGCAGCCAGGGUUACUCGUACACCCAUCGAGACAAAGCAUAUGCUUGAUAUCAUUGCCGCAAUCAUGACUGAGGGGUAUACAGUCGAAGACCCAACUCCAGCUCCCUCACGGCAAACCCCCAGCAAACCUAUUCUCGCUAGUCCUAAAGGACCCAGCAAAAGAAAGGGGGGCACUUCUGGAGGCAUUGCUGCAGUAGACACACCAGAGCCAAAGAGGACCAUAUCUGUUUUGUCCCAGCCAGCUGCACCCACUGCAACUCCUCCUACUAGCCCAUCGCAAAGAAAGAAAAAGUCAUUGCCAACUACCUCACCGCAAGAAUCUCCUAAAGACCGACUGCGGAGCGCCUCCAAAAAGCGGUGAAUUGGUUAUAAUUUAUUGCAGCAGUAUUUCUAGCACCAGGGGAGUACCACUACCCGCUAGUUUAUUUUACUUCUUCAUGCAACAACUUUUUCUUCAUUUAGUUUUAAUUUUCUGAUUUAUUUUGCAUGUCUUUUUAUUUAGUAUAUGCAUAUCUGGUUUAUAUGGUUUUGUUUUGUGUGCCUGUGAAGACACAACACCUUUCAAGUUUUGGGGGGUUGUGCUAUCAUAUAGUGUGUUAUUGAGUGCAUUGCAUGUGUUGUGGUGUUGUUUGUGAAGUGAAGCUCUGUAUCUACUGCUUAUGUAUGGAUUUGAAAGCCUAAUGAAGAUAAAUUGAGUGUUACUCAGUAUGUAUGAGAAUGCCCAGUAGGGAUAGUCAUAGAUGGAGAUUGAAAUUAUGUCCCGACACUUAGACUUUGGUUGAAAUUCAUGAGACUGCUGCAGCAAAAUCAAGAAAACUGCAAAGAGUAGAAAAUAUAUCAAGUUUAGGGGAAAUGUGUGUGUUGAGUUGUGCUUAUUAAAGUCUGUUCCAAUGGCUUAAAUGGUUGAGUAACUACGGCUGAGUAUGUACCCCAUAUGCAGACUUGAGUUAAAAAGCAACAAGAGUUAUGAGCAUUGUUGUAGCAAUUGAAAAAAAAAAGAAAAAAAAAAGAAGUCCUCUGUCUGAGAAAUUGAGUAGCCAUGUCUGUUAAUGAGCCCCAUGUUCAGCCUUGAGUUAAAGAUAUCUUUAGAUAAGACUAUGUUAUGACCAUUGCUAUAGCAACUCUGACAUGUACGUUGAGUAAGUAAUUGGGUGUCAUCAUUACAAGUGAUAGGCAUUCACAUGAAAGUUCAAUGUUGUAUUGAAGGGAGUGAAUAUAUAGAUAUAUAUAUAUAUAUAUAUAUUGUUUGUUGAAGCACAAUUUAUGUUUAUUUGUGAAUUAUGCUCUCCCAUAUAUGAAUAUAUUUGUGUUCUACCUUUGAAUUACAUGCAAUAUCUCUGUAAUGUUGUAGCAUCUCUGGACUUUGAUCAAAGUGGCACACACAUUUUGGACAGAAUGCAGCCUAAGUCUAGAACUGAACUGUUAUGGCUAUUUUGCAUGAUUAAGAGUGUGAUCUGAGGGUGGAAGAAUCCUUGCAACUUUGAUGAUAAAGCUGAGCUAUUUGUUGCAUGAUUGAGUGAUUGAAGUGUUAGCAUUGUUGUCAUUACUUAAAAACAAGUAAUGGUUUAAGUUUGGGGGUGUGAUAACUCUAUGAAAUGAGCGUUAUUAUGGUAAUGCUAGAAUUAAAUCAAUAUUUACUUAGAGAGUAAAUAAUGUGUUUCUAUUAUAUUUUUCUAUUGUAUUUAAUAAAUUUUACUUAGUUUAGAAUAAUUUGUGCUUAAAUUGUGUGCAUAAUUGUAGGUGUCCAGAAGCUCAUAUCUCAUGGAAGGAGUGCUGAUGCAAUAGGCUUGUAAAAAUGAGGAAGAACAUGGCUACAAAAGAAUUGAAACAAAUCUGGAACAAUGUAGUGUUGUAGCCGUUGCUGUAGCAACCAUUACUGUAGCAAUCCUGGAACAACGACAGAGAAAAUUUAGCGCGGGAUACUUGUAGAAUCGAGAUCUGCAGUUUUCUAAUCUGACUUAUGCGCGUCUUAGGCUUUUGUUUACCCUAAUUUUCAGUUAUAAAAAGAGCACGCAUCAUAUGGUAAAGGGGGCGGUGAAUUAACAUCGAAUAAAUAAAUCAAGAGGAAAAGAAGGAAAAAUCAGAAUUCAAGGGAGAGCAAGUUUGCACUAGUGAAGAGAUCGGCAGAACUAUUUGGAUUCAAUUUUCAUCAUUCUUUACUUGUCCCCUUUCUUACUCUUUGAUUGAACCGAUGUAUUUCAUGGCUGAUACUUUGUUGUUUGUUUUUCUUUUCCAAAGUAUGAACUAAAUUUGAUUGUAGUUGAGUGACAAAUAAUCGCAAUGGGUUUUUGACUAUUCUUAUGAGUUGCUGAAAAAUUGAUGUAGCAUUUUGCUCUAAUAGCUUAUAUUACAAUCAUUAUUUCGGUUGACUUCUCAUUUAAUGGUUAAAGUUAAAAGAAAGCCGUAAAAGGGCCUGUAUUAGUGGAAAUUAUUAGAGUAAUACUUGAUCUUAAUUUAAGUUUCCUAAAUUGAGUUUAACGUGAGUGCCAAAAUAGCCACACUUAAGUUAAGAUUUGUGAAGAACUAGAUAUAUGGAUUCAUCUUGUAGGGUAGAGGGGGUGUAUGUUCAUAAUGUCAUACCUUAGGUGAAAUAACAACUGGUCAUUGUUAGGGUGCUUAAGGGUAUGAGAAGUCCAACAAGAGACAGUUGAGGAUGCAAAAUAAUUAUGCCCAUGAAGAGAGUUUGAUCAUUCAGCUACCUCAUUCUCUUUAAAUUCUUCUUUACGCAAUUCAUCUAAUUUACUUUAUUACUGCAUUUAUUUUAUUAAAAUUGUUAAUUUCAGUAGUAAUCAACUUUAAUUAGAUUUCUCUUUAGAUAAAAGAAGUUUGCACUGUCGUGAUUGCUGUAGCAUUUCUAGUAACAUCAAUCCAUGUGGAGACGAUCUUGAAUAUUCAUCACUUUAUUACUUGUUGUGUACAUUUGCAUAUGACAUCAAUAACAAUUGAGUUAAAUUAACCAACAAUGUGUUAGAAGCCAAGAUUAAGAAAGAAGAUGUGAAUGUGGCUAUAAAAGAUUCUGACAUUGAGACAUGGUAUAAAAAGUUUGGUCACAUUGGUGAAAAAGGGUUAGAAACUCUUGCCAGAAAAAGAUUUCUACCCAGCUUCGUAGAUAUGUCCCUCAAGACUUUUGCUCAUUCCUUAGCUGGAAAGACACACAGAGUAGCUUUUAAAAGGUUUUCUCCAUCUAGAAAGUCGCAAAUCCUUGAUUUGAUUCACACUGAUUUUUGCAUGAUGUAAAGUAGAUCAAUUGGAGGUGCACUUUAUUUUGUUACUUUUAUUGAUGACUAUUCUACAAAGGUGUGGGCUUUUGCUUUGAAAUCUAAAGAUCAAGUGCUUGAUAUAUUUAAGUUCUUCCAUACUUAUUUUGAGAGAGAGACGAGAAGAAAAUUAAAAUGCGUCAGGGUAGAUAAUGGUGGUGAGUAUAAAAGGCCAUUUGACCAAUAUUGCAGAUCCCAUAGAAUUAGACUUGAGAAGACCGUACUAAAACCCCACUGUAGAAUGGUAUUGCAGAAAUGAUGAACAGAACAAUUGAAAAGAGAGUCAGGUGUAUGCCUUCUGAUGCCAAGCUUCAUAAAUCCUUCUGGGCAGAGACUAUGCGUUCUGCAGUUGACUGGAUUAAAUUUUUCUCCUUCAGCUCCAUUGAUGGUGAUGUACCUGAGAUAGUUUGGACUGAAAUAUAUGUUUAUUACAAACACUUGAGAGUGUUUGGUUACAGAAUAUAUGUUCACAUUCAUAAGGAUGAAAGAUCGAAGCUUGAUGACAAAGCUAAAAAAUGCAUUUUCUUAGGCUAUGGGCAUAAAGAAUUUGGGUACAGAUUAUGGGAUCCAGUGCCAAGAAAAUUGAUCAGAAGUAAACAUGUUGUGUUCCUCGAAGAUCAAAUAGUUAGUGAUGCAGAGAAUAGUGAUGAGUCUCAGUCAUCUCUAAAGAUUCCUAUUAUUCUAACUUUAGUUUCUUCAUCUAUAGUUCAUAAUGAUCAUGGAGGAGCUGGAGAGGAUAGUAAUGAUGGUCCAGCAGAACUAGUUGACCAAGCACCUCCAGAACCACCUGCACCAUCAAUGGAGCCUGAAUUGAGAAGAUUUACUAGAGAACGGUGACCUUCCACCAGAUAUCCUCCACAUGAGUAUAUGAUGCUUACAGAUGAAGGGGAGCCAUAAUGUUUUGAAGAAGCCAUGUUUCAAAUAACUCACAAUAACGAUACAAGGCUAGACUGGUUGAUGGGGUACCUAGCAACUUCUUGUUGUGUGGGCUGAUCAGACUUUACUUUCUUAGUUUCUGAUUCUUCUUAUGCUUGCAUUGUUACAGCAUAUACGGAGGGUUGUGCCUUUUUACGCUUGUUGGAUGCCCUAGGAGUUCUGCUAGGAGAUUUGAUGGGAGGUUGUUGAGUAAUGCUUACUGUAGUAGUUUCCCCAGAUGUGAUUUUAGCAAUAAUAUCAGGGAAACUCUUAUUUGCUUCAUCAGUUUUUGUAGCCCUGGUAUCAGCUGCUUUAAUUUCUGCAUCAAUAUCAUCUUGAUCAUUGUCUGAUUCUUCAUCAGUCAGAACUUUUUGUUUACCUUUACUUAGAAACACUGUAAUCGGGGGUUCAUCAUCCUGCCCAUCCUAUGUCUCAUCUUCGUAAACUUUUAUGAUGUGCUUCUUUUUACGUUUAGGAGGUACUACUGGAGGUGCCUCAUCCUUCUACGUUGCUGAUUCGUCUUCUGUACUAUAUUCCUCCUCUAUUUCUUCUUAUUAUUUUUCCUUCUUCUCUUUCUCUUCCUCUGCUGGUAGUGGGUCUUUUUCAGAUUCUAAUUCUUCUUCACUCUCUGCUGCUGCCUCAACUACUGGAGCAUCCCUUGUUAAUGUUUGGAAAUUAAACGGCUACAACAAGGAGUCAUGGAAAUCUUUGCUCUUUUUCUUCAUGUAGACUUCAAACUAAUGUCUAUGGUUUUCAAGGUGCAUUAAAUAAUUCCUGAAUCUUUGAUUUUGUUCUUUCCAUGCGUGUACACAUUCAUUAAUGGUGUCACUUAAUUCUUGCAGCUUCAUCUCAAUGCCAGUAACGUUCAUUGCUCUGGUCACAACAACAUACUCUGGUGUUGCUGUAGUAGUAGUUUCCCUAGCAAUUCUUUCAACAAUUCGAUCAGUAAGAGCUCAUUCAUUCUUAAUGCUUUCAUCUUUUGCUGAUAUUUUCACCCGAAAUACCAGACAAAUCCUAGUAAUGAGUGAGCGAAACAACAAAGCAGCAAUCUUGUGAUUUUUCAUGGCACACUCUAAUCUCCCUCUCUAUAAUUUUCCUCACAUCAAUUGGUAUACCCUUGAAAAUGGCAUAUAAUAGGUAAGAUUUUCAUGAGAUACGGUGGUGGUGUAUGUGGUGGGUAUCAAUCGAGAUUUUAGAAAUUUUACCCACACUUUGGCUACUGGUUUCAAAUCAAUUCUAUUCACUCCUCUGCCUUCCUCAUUCAACCAUGAACUACCCUCCACCAUAAGGAUUUCAAGCACAUCACUUCACUCCUUAGCAAUCAUAUUCUCAAUCAUUUUUGAAUACUCACAAUCAAUAUCAUAUGGUAAAUUAUAAAAAAGCAUUGAUUACCCUCGGAUCUAAAGGGACUUGAACAUUCCUUACCACUAUUGUGCAUUGGUCUUGCCGCAACAUGUUGGAGUAAAAUUCCUUAACGAUUGGGAGCACAAGGUCUCGUGGGUGAGUGUAAAAAUCUAGCCAUCUUUUCUUUGCUACAGCAACAUAGAUUGUGUUGAUUGUUCCUGAUGGUUGUUGAGGGAAUUGAAAAUCAUUUUCCUCUAAAAUCUUCUUAGGCUCUAUAAAUUCUUCAAAUUAUCCUCGGCUUUGUCACUAUGGAAGCGUGAGGGGUCCUUUAGUCGAGCAGUUGUCUUCUUGUACCACGUUAUUGCUAGAGCAACAAAACUGAGUUGUUGGGUACCUAAAAAAGAAAAAACUCAUGAAAGUGACUCUAAAGUAUGUGGAGAACUGUGGACUAGAAGAGAAAAAAUUUGGAUAAGAAUGAAAAGAAGCAUUGUGAAACCCUAAUUUAUAGGUCACGGUAAAAUAGAAAAAAAUAAUUAAUGAGGUAAAUUUAGAAAUUGUAUUUGAAAUUUAAAAUAAAUCCACAUUUACGUUCGGGAAUUUAGGGAUUAUGUAAUCCAUUCUUAUUUUUUAUCUUGAUUUCUUGAGCCAUCUAUCAAAAAUUUACUCCCAACGGUGCAAAAAUACUUUCCAUAGUUAUGUCACUAUAACGGUAAGAAUCAUUGCUACAACAAGUAAUAUAGUGCUGCAGCAACUGCGAUAAAGUCCCUAGUUUGAUGAGAACCAUUGUUCAACUGUCAUAUAAAGUGUAAUGCUGCAACAUCUUGUGUCAGUGUUUUAUCCAAAAAAAAUUCAUUAUUAUUUAUACAUGCCGUAAUAAAAUAAUAGACACAAAUAAAUUAGAUAAAAACUUCAAAAUAUCAACAACCGUAAAGAAAAACAUGAAAACUAAAUUUAAUGUUAAAGGAAAAAUUGAAAUAACUCCCUUAAUCAUUGGGUUGCCUCCCAAUUAGCACUUUAUUUAAGGUCUUUCAGUCUGACCCCCCUUAAUUGCUCAAACUGGAUUUAUGAGGCACAAAUCCUCCCUUGAAUGGUGAAAAUCAUCAUUAAUAUAGUGUUUCACCCGCUGCCCAUUUACUAUAAAUUCAAUGCUAGUUCUCUCAUCUUUGAGGUCCACAGCCCCAUGAGGAUGGAUUUUGAUAAGUCCAAAAGGCCCUGACCAUCUAGACUUUAACUUUCCUAAAAAAAAGCUUUGAUCUAGAGUUGUAGAGCAAAACUCAUUGACCUAGAAUUAAAUCCCUUUGCUGGAUGCGUUUAUCAUGCCAUUGUUUUGUUUUGUCUUUGCAAAUCCUUGCGUUAUCAUAAAAGAACUAUCUUAAUCUUUAAACUCACAAAGUUAAAACUUCCUAUGCUCUGCUGCAACAUGCAUGUCCAUGUUCAGUUGUUUUAGCGCCCAAAAUGCUUUAUGCUCUAGCUCCAGUGGCAAAUAGAAAGCUUUGCCAUAUAUAAUUUUAUAUGGUGACAUGCCAAGUAGUAUUUUGUAAGCUGUGCGAUAUGCCUGUAAGGAAUCAUGUAAUCUAAAAGACCAAUAUUUUCUAGUAGGGUUCACCACUUUUUCUAAAAUCCUUUUUAUUUCCUUGUUGGACACUUCUGGCUGACCAUUAGAUUGAGGGUGAUAUAUUGUAGCAACCUUGUGCUUAAUUCUAUAUUUGGCCAAUGCUGCAGCAAAUAUUCUGUUGCAAAAAUGAGUGCUUUCAUCACUGAUGAUGGCUCUAAGAGUCCCAAAUCUUGUGAAAAUGUUCUUUUAAAUGAAUCUCACCAUGGCUUUGGCAUCAUUUGUUGGUAGUGUUACAACUUCCGCCCAUUUGAACACAUAGUUUAUAGCAACUAAAAUGUAUAAAUCCCCAAAAGAGGGUGGGAAUGGACCCAUGAAAUCCAUCCCCCCAACAUCAAAUAGCUCAACUUCUAAAAUGUUGGUUAAUGGCACUUCAUGUUUUUUAGAGAUGUUCCUUGUUAUUUGGCACCUGUCACAACAUUUAACAAACUUAUAAGCAUCUUUAAAAAUAGAGGGCCAGUAAUAACCUGAUUGUAUAAUUUUUUUACUGCUGGUCUGUGGCCUCCAAAAUGGCCUCCAUAUGCUACAGCAUGACAUGAUUGCAGUAUGUUUGAAAUUUCUUCAUCAGAUACAUAUCUUCUAAUCAUAUAGCCUGAGCAUAUCUUGUACAAAUAAGGUUCAUCCAACUGAUAACUUCUAACAUCAUUAAGAAAUCUCUUCUUCUAUUGGUAACUUAGAUUAAGUGGUAACAAUCAGCUCACCAAGUAAUUAGCAAAAUCUACAUACCAUGGAAGCCCAGAUUAUUGUAGCAUAUGUGUAUGCUUUAGCAUUAACAAUUGCUCAUUAAGAAAUGUCUCUGUGAUCUCUUGCUUGAUUAGAGUGCUUUCAUCUGCUUCCAGCCUUGAAAGAUGAAAUUCUCCUUGGUUCUCAGUCCCUAUUCUUUGUUUAAUCUCGAAGUCAAAUUCUUGUAGCAAAAGGAUCCACCUUAUCAACCUUGGUUUGGCAUCUUUUUUUUAAAAUCAAAUACUUUAUGGCUAAGUAAUCUGUGUAAACAGUCACUUUGGUGCCAACCAAAUAAGCUCUAAAUUUGUCAAAUACAAAGACAAUUGCUAGUAACUCAUUUUUCAAUGGUAGUGUAAUUAAUCUGAGCAUCAGCUAAAGUUUUGUUAGCAUUAUAAAUAGAGUGAAAAAUUUUGUUCUUUCUUUGCCCUAACACUGCUCCAACAGAGUGGUCGCUGGCAUCAGAUAUCAACUUAAAAGGUAAGUUCCAAUCUGGUGUUAUAACAAUUGGUGCUGUAGCAAAAGCUUUCUUCAAUUCUAUAAAAGUCUUUAAACAAAGCUUACCAAAAUAGAAAGGCCUAUCAUGCUCCAGCAGCUAGCAUAAGAGUUUUGAUAAUUUAGAAAAUCCUUAAUGAAUGUUAUAUAGAAUUAUGCAUGUCCCAAGAAAUUCCUAAUGCCUUUAACUGAAGUAGGUGGUGGGAGUUUACUAUUUUGACCUUCUCCACUUAUAUUCCUUUUCUAGAGACUUUAUGGCUUAGGAUUAUCCCUUCUUGUACCAUAAAAUGACACGUUUCCUAAUUCAACACUGAAUUUAUCUCCUCACAUAUUUUAAGCAUAUUUUCUAGAUUAUGUAAACAAUCAUCAUAGAUCUCCCCAAAAAUCGAAAAGUCAUCCGUGAAUACCUCAAGCGUUUGCUCUACCAUAUUUCAAAAAAUAGACAUCAUACACCUCUGGAAUGUUGCUAAAGCAUUGCACAAACUAAAGGACAUCCUUCUUAAAUCCUUCUGAAAUAAGCAAAAGUUUCAUAAAGACAAGUGAAUAUUGUCUUCUCCUUAUCCUCUAGUGCUAUAGCAAUAUGGUUGUAGCCAGAAUACUCAUCCAAGAAACAGCAGUACUUUUUUCCAACAAGUAUGUCUAGCAUCUAAUCUAUGAAAGGCAACGGGAAGUGAUCAUUCCUUGUGGCGUUGUUUAGCUUCCUAUAGUUCAUGCAAACUCUUCAUACAGUUACUGUUUUGUGGGAAUAAGCUCAUUCUUCUCAUUUGUUGCAAUAGUCACUCCACCUUUCUUUGGAUCACAUUGUACUGGACUCACUCAGGAGCUGUCGGAUAUUGGGUAGAUGAUUCCAGCAUCAAGUCAUUUGAUAAUCUCUUUCUUGGUCAAUUUGGGUGAGUACUUGCUAGCAAUCCUCUAGCAAUUAAUUUGAAUUCUUAUAGCUAUUUGACAACUAUUAAUUUAUGUUUUUAUAUUUUCAUAUUAAAUAUAUUUAUUUAUUUAUUUUGAUAAAUUUUUAAAAAAUCAUUACUUAAAUUUAAUUAAUGAAAUAUUUUAAAAAAAUAUUAAAUUGAUAAAAUAAAAUUAUAAAUAAUAACUAUUUGAUGACAUUAAACAAGUUAAAAAGUUAAAGGGGUAAUUUUAAAAGCUUUGAUUUCCAAAAGAAGAAGAAUUUGAAUUCUUCAAUUCUUUGUAUAAAAUUCAAAUUCUAUAUUAGGAUGAAUAGUAAAUUCUAAUAAAAUUUAAAUUCUUAUAUAUUUUGUCCAACCAAACAAUUAAAAAAAAAAAUUCAAAUUACUUUCCUAUUCUCUAUCCUCACCUCCCAACCAAACACCAUCUAAACUCCUUAAUAUGCCACCCACAUAUUCAAACACCUUUGAGAAUCAAAGUAUCCCAGAUCUCCAGUAAGGAACCACCCAAAUUGAAAAGUAGUCUUAUUAGCCUCAGGAUUACCUUUAAUCAAAGUAUCCCAGAUCUUGCUAGCAAUCCUCUAGCAAGAUCUUGUACAUACAUAUGGAGGGGCUGAUUCAUUUGAUAUCUUUCAUGGUCUAUCUAAUGGCCUUCUUGUAUCUCCCCAACAUUUCCACUCAGCUCUUUACUUGAUCUGCAUUCAAAGAAGAUGAAAUGAUUACAUGUAGUGUGUUAUUAUCACCAAGAUAAACAUAUUUUAGAUGUGAAGGUAGAAGUUUUAAGUAUAAAACAUGAGGUAAUUCAAUAGAUGGUACAGCAGGUUUCACUUCCCCAUUUGAAAGAUCUAGAGACUCAAAAUGUCUGUUUGUCCUCACAGGUCGCUUCUCUCUUAACUAUGCUAUAUGCGUUGCUGCAGCAUCUUCAUCUUCAAGUUCUUCAAAUGUGGCGGCCUUGAUUUCUUCAUUGUUGCAGCAAUUAUUUAAGAUGUCUGUGACAGUAAGCUUCACAGCACCGACCAAAUCACAAUCUUCAACUUCAUCAAGACUCAUCAUUGCUUCCAAUACAUUAAAGGUAACUUACUGAUCAUUAACCCUCAUACUCAACUCUCAUUUUUUAACAUCAAUUAAAGUUUUUCCUGUGGCUAAAAAGGGUUUGCCUAGAAUAAUUUGUACUUCUUUAUCUGCUUCAAAGUCCAACACUAUGAAAUCCACUGGAAAAAUGAAUUUAUCCACUUUAAUCAAUACAUCUUCAAUUUUGCCUUCAGGAUAAGCAUGAGAUUUAUCAGCAAGUUGCAAUGUCACUGUGAUUGGUCUGACUUCUCCAACUCCCAAUUAUGUGAAUACUGAUAAUGGCAUAAGAUUAAUGCUUGCUCUCAAAUCACAAAGUGUCUUACUAUUGUAUUUAGUUCUUGUGGAACAAAGAAUUUUAAAACUUCCUGGAUCCUUUAACUUCUAAGGAAUUUUACUUUAAAGUAUAUGGUUCCAUUAUUGUCUUAAAGCAACUAUUUUGAAUUCUCCAAGCCUUUUUUUUCUUGCCAAUAUAUCUUUAAAAAACUUCACAUAAUUUGGCAUUUGUUCCAAUACGUCCACAAAAGAAAUUUUGAAAUGCAGUUGUUUUAAUACUUCCAAUAAUUUACUAAACUGCUUGUCAUGUUUUUACUUCUGAAAUCAUUACGGGAAGAUUUCCCCUUGGGUAUAAUUAGGUUAUGUUCUUCUUUUUGGUACUUUAACUAAAAUAUGAACAUCCUUUUCAGACCUUAAGUUAAUCACCUUGCAAUGCUCUUUUCUUUCUCUUCUUGGAUCCUCUGUAUUGCUUAGUAAAUUGCCCUAAGGUAUGUUGCUCAAUGCUGUAGCAAGCUGUCCAAUCUGAUUCUCCAAGUUUCUUAAAGAUAUGGCUUGACUUUGGACUACUACUUCAUUCUUCACAAUAUACUCCAUAAUUAGAGUUUCAAAGGAACUAAAUUGAUCAUUACUGGUGUUUAUUUUCCCUUAAAAUUGCUGAUGAAAUCCAAGUGGCUAAGCAGGUCUGUUAUGUCCAUUAGAUGUUGCAACAUGCUGAUUCUGAUUGCUCCAUGAAAAGUUUGGGUGCUGUCUCCAUUCAGGAUUAUAGAUGUUUGAAAAUGGAUUGGUUUGAUUUUGUCUAUUGAAAUUGCCCGCAUAAUUGACUAAGCUGGAUUUCCAGGACAACUAUCAUAUAGAUGUCCCUCUCCACAAUAAACACAAGAGACUUCAGCAACUUGGUUAGUUGUUGCUGGAGCAGUGGUCGUUGAUUUUACCAUAUUUGUUAAUGAGGUUACUUGGGCUGAUAAUGAUGUCAGUGCAUCCACAUUGUGUACUCCAGUUACUCCUCUUAUUGCGGCUUGUCUAAUUAAUGGCCAUUAAUAGUUAUUGUUGGCUAUCUUUUUCAAAAUUUCAUAAGCCUCAUUGUAUUACUUAGACAACAAGGCCCCUAGUGUUUGAGUUCAACCCAUUGUAGAUAGUUUCCAAUUGUACACAACAAGGAAUACCAUGAUGAAGGCAUCUCCUGGGUAACUCCUUGAAUCUUUCCCAUGCAUCAUACAAGCUUUCAUCUUCAAGUUGAUGGAAAGAUGUGAUCUCAUUCCUCAACUUUACAUUCUUUGUCGGUGGGAAAUAUUUCAUCAAAAAUUUGUCAGCCAAAUCAUUCCAUGUGGUGAUGGAGUCUAGUGGCAAAGAAUUCAACCAUGCCCUUGCUUGAUCUCUUAAAGAAUACGGGAAAAUUUUGAGUCUCAAUGCAUCUUGUGAUGCUCCAGCAAUUUUAAAAGCAUCACUUACCUCCAAGAAUAGUUUAAGGUGAAGAUGAAGAUCUUCUUAUGGCAAUUCAUUGAAUUGCCCCACUGUUUGUAAUAUCUAAAACAUCACUGGUUUGAGCUCGAAAUUGACAACUUGCAUUUCAGGUCUAACUAUUCCAGGAUGUAUAACUUGAGGGGUCAACACGGCAUAGUCUCUAAUGGCUCUGUCUCUAUCAUCUGUCAUGUAGAUAAUAUUGUUGUUCCCUGGUUGUCCCCAAAUAUUCUGCUCAUUAUGGCUUUCUUGGUCAUUAACUGGUUAUAUUUCUCUGUGAGGGUUCAAGUUCCUCAUAUCUUGCAAAUCGUCCAUUACUACAGCAGCUUUUGAAUGCUUAUUCUCUUUCCUCAAUCUCCUUACAAUUCUUUCAAUCUCUGGAUCAAAUUGGAAUUCAACAUGUUUGUAUUUGCGCAUGCAAGGGUUGGUAGAGCUCUUCUACAAACACAUUAAAAAAAAAGAAAAUUAAAAUCUUGCAUCAACUAAAAUUGAUUUCACAAAACACAAUAAGCACCAAUCCCCGGCAACGACGCUAAAAACUUAUUGUAGGUUUUCUAAUGCUAUUAGUGUCAAUGUGCAAGUGCACAUAACAAGUAAUAUAAUGAUAAAUAUUCUAGAUUGUCUCCACAAGGAUUAUUGUUAUAGGAAUUGCUACAACAAUUUUAUCAGUGCAAUUUUUAUUCUAAAUUAGAAUUAAAAUAAAUUAUUAAAUUAAUGAACUAAUUAAGAUAAAAAUGCAAUAAGAAAAAUACAAUAACAUAAAUUAUCACAGCAAAUAUAAGGAUGUAACCAAGGGGAAUGGAGUAGUUGAGUAAUUAAACUCACUUAAUGGUUUUGAUUAUUUUUCUAAUGUUUGGUUCGAUUACUACAACAUCUUCUACAGCACUGGGAAGAAUCCUUAUGUAUCCUCAAUUGUCGCAUGUUGGAUGUCUUAUACCUAAAAACAACUUAACAAUGACCAAUUGUUAUGCUAACAUUAGAUAUAGCAUUACACGUUUUAGAUUCGAAUUACCCUACAAGGUGAAUCCUUAUAUCUAGUUCAUCACUAAUUUUAGAUUACGCAUGACCUUUUUUUAAUCAGGUUAAACCCAAUUCAGGAAACCCAAUCUAAACCCAACUUAGGAAACCUAAUCUAAACCAAGUAUUGUUAUGAUAUGUUCCACUAAGACAGGUCUUUAUAGGCUCUAUCUUAGCUAAUAUCACUAAAUGGGUGGUCAGCCAAAAUAGUGAAUUGAAAUAAGUAUUAUUAAAACAACGUACUAUAGCAAACAUGCCCCAAUAUAGUAUAUCAGUCAAUUAACUAUCAAGUUUGCUCAUCGCUCAACCACGAGUAAAUUUAGUUCAUAAUUUGCAAUAAAACAAUAAUCAAAAUAGUUUUAGCCAUCAAAUAAUCCAUCAUAACAAGAUAAAAGUAAGAGAACAAAAAAUAAGAGUUGAGAUCUGUUUGAUGUUCUUCUAGAAUUCUUUGUUGCCGUCUUCGAUUCUCUCUCUUGAUAUUUGUUUUAUCUUGUUUUGUUUCUCUAUUGUUUCUCUCAAAUGACGGUCUCUCCUUUUUCUUUGCGUUUGUACUUCUUUUAUAUCUUAGCAUCAGGGCAACCGGAAGCCUAGGGUGCGCAUAUUCUAGUUUAGGAAACUCAAGAUCGCAAUCUUCCAAGUAUUAUAAGCGAAAUCUUUUCUGCCAUUGUUCCAGGAUUGCUACAGGAACAAUGCUACAGCAAUGGCUUCAGCACCUGCACUGUUCCAGAAUUGUUUCAAUUCUUAUAUAACCAUAUUCUUUCUUUAUCUUUGCAAGCCUAUUGCAGCAGCAUUCCUCCCUUGAAAUUUGAGCUUCCGGUCACCUAUAAUUAUAUUAUGAUCUAAGCACAAAAAUUAUUCUGAAACAAUGCAAUUUAUUAAAAUAAACUAUGGAUAUUCAUACAAAAUAUAACUAAAAUGCAAUAAAAAUAUGCCAUUUACUCUCUAAGUAAUCUUGAUUUAAGUCUAAAAAUGUCAUGAAAACUUUCAUUUCACAGAGUUAUCAGCAGCAAAAGGGUUAAUCCAACUAUUGAUUUAGAUCAAGUCUAUAAUGACAAUAACCCCUAACUAUUUGAGCUUAAAGCUCUUGCCAGCAAAUGGGCAAUUGGGAUGAAAGUCCUCUAUAAACAACUUGAAUAGAUAAGUAAAGAAAAAAAAAUGUGGCUUCACUAAGUCAAAACAAAACAUAUAAUCUAUUCAUUCAGUAAAAAAGAAAACAUUUUAGCCAAGCAAGCCAUCUUGAAAAAGAAAAAGGCAAUAUAUGAGAAUCUCGUGGAAUCCAACCUGCCAACACACAGUGGGAUAUGCAAGGUGCUUAAUCAUCAAUCAGAUUCUGGCUUUUGCUAUAAAAAAAAAAUCAAAAGAAUAAUCUAGUAAGGAAGACAUGCCGCUAGAUGAAGAGCUCAUAAUUAACACGUGACAGGAGGCCACUAAAAAGAUAAAGAUGCCAACUAGAAGCAUUAAUAUUUCAGAAAGAAUCCAAAGUAAAGGAUAAGACUUAUCGAAAUCCUUACCUCAACCAUGUGAAGACUAUCAACCAUUAGAAAAAGAAGACAAAAGUUGCCCUUAAUAAUGCAAGAAGAAGGGGUUACCUUAUCUCUGGGAAAUCUAUCAGGCAACAAGUGUCAUGUAAAAAGAUAUAAUCUUAUCUCUAAAAUCUAUAUGUGUAAGAAAGGAUUAUCUUAUCUAUCUAAAUCUAUAAAUAAAGUCACGUAAGAUAGAAGAGGUAUCACUCACGAGCAUUCUCUUAUUCUCAUCUGUAUUCUCUCUUUAAAUUCAAAAAUUAAAUAAAAAAAUUGUUUUUGAGUGAAAUUAUUAUCUUUAUAUAACUUAUUUAGAUUUUAGAAAAAAAAAAUCAAGAAUAUACAUGCCAACACUUGUGCUAAAUAAAGAAGAUUUCAUAUUACUAAGCACUCUUCUAUAUCAAUUACAACAGAUUCACUUAGGCAUAUCUUACUGGCUUAGUCUGCAAUGUGUUGCUUUAGGCCGUGUGGAAUAGUUGUGGGAUUGAUCUUGCAUGAUGUGUGGAGCUAUAACAGUGCUGAGCAUGGGCCAAUUUAUAGGCUCAUGGAACUAGCAAAAUUAUUCUAGAAUUUUGAGGAUUGUACUCUAGUUAGUACUCUAAAUUAUCUUAUUAUAUUUUGCACAAAUAAAUGAUAUAGAGUGAUAAUAGCAACUCAAUUUUCAUAAAACAUGGAAAGAUGAGUCGCCAAAUUUCUAGAUGCCAUAGAUAAUCUAGACUUUAGUAAGGAAUAUCAAGUUAUUUAUACAAUGAAAAUUGUUAAAUCUCGAUUAAUUGCAAGGAAGCACUUGUAGAGAGAUAUAGAGAGAAUAAACUAUUAGCCUAAAAGGGCUACACAUAUUGUAAUUUUGAUGAUAACAAACAUGUGUCUUAAGUGAUUUGAUAAAUAUUGUAUAUCACAUUUUCAUUAGUUCUUGAAAGAUAAUAUUUAUGAUGAAGUGAAUCACGAAAAAUCAAGCUCAAGACACUCAACGGACAACGGCGUGAUCAAGAAUAAAGUUUAGAGUUCAACGGAAUCAUUAUUGCGACAAUUCUUGUAAAGCCGGUAUGAUUUAAAAUAUGAAUGAUUUAGCAUUUAAAAAGCUCAAGAUUUUGUUUAAUAAAUCAUUAUUUUUUCAUAAAUCAAAAGUUUUACAAGUAUAAGCUAAGUAUUUUAUGAAAUUAGUUAUUUUUCAAGAUGUGGACUAAAAUGAAAAUUUUUUACAAUCUUUGAUUUUAAAAAGUAUUGUUUUGAAUUCCAGAGUUUGACUUAUUUGCAAACAUUUAAAACUUUUUAGGUCAUACUAUAAUUUAUGAACGUUUGAGGACCCGAAGUGAAAAUAUCCAAAAAUUUGAUAAAGAGUUAGCGGCUAAUCGCCUGAGGGCUAGCGGCUAGCUGCCUAAGGAAAAUCUCAUAUUUUCAAAUUUUGGACUAAAUUAAAAGAUUUUGAGAACUUUGAAAUUUAUAAGUAUUAUGUUAAAUUUUGAAAAAAAUUAUUAAACUUUGGACCAUAUCAUAAUUUCAAAAAGUUUUUAGAAUAACAAGUAUUAUUUUAAAAUUCAAAAGUUGGACCUGUUUGUAAAGUGUUAUAACGUUUUGGGCCAUAGUAUAAUUACAUAAAGUUUUGGGCACAAAUGUAACUUUAUUGUUCUGAAGCAACGAGCCGGAUAAAUUAAGUGGCUAGUCACUUGUUUGCUGGAAUUUACCCAUAACGGCUAAUUUUCAAGCUUUAUCUAUAAAAACUCAACUCCAACUUCAAUUUGGAGACUUUUGCAAGCAUAAACAAGUGCAUAAAAUAUAUAUUGAGCUUUUAUUUCGCAAAUCAUCUUAUAUUGAAUCAUCAUUGUGCUAUUAUUUGUAGAUCUACUCUAAAAGAGAGUUUUUUUUGUUGUAUUAUUCAUUUUUCUCAUCAAAUUUGUAAGUGUAUAAGUGUGAGAAACACUUAUGUGAAGAGAUUGAGAGAUAAUCUCUUGGUUGUAAAGGUUUAUUGACAUCUUGAAAGUCAAAUGUAAUGAACUUGAAGCCUUGGGAAACUUGAAUAGUGAAAUCCUUAAGGUUGGUUGGCUUGGAGGCAUGGACGUAGGCGGGGAUUGCGGAACCACGUAAAAAUUAUUGUGUUUGCUCUAUUUUCCCUUACUCUUCUAUUAUUGUACUUUAUUGAAUUUUUUAUUUUUUAUUUGAUUAAGACAAUAGAUUGAAUUGUUGUGCGAAUUGUUUAGCGUAAGUUUUAAAAUCUCAAUUCACCUCCCCCCCCCCUCUUGGAUUGCAUAACUUGCAUUUCAUAAACUUUAAAGAUAAUAAUUAAAUAUACGACAGCUUUAAGGAAGAAAAUAGAAUAGUAUUAAUAGAAUCUAUUUUAACCGGUCUUGAAAUAAUUCAAGACAGAUGCAAAAUAAAUAACAGGACUCUAAACCGUCCAUAAUAAGUCUAUUGAUGAAUAAAAACAAUAAUAGUGAUGUGAAUAUAUUCGGAUUUUAUAGAUUUUUAUGAAUUUGAUAACCAUUUAGAUCUUUAUAAAAUUAUAAUAAAACUUUAAAAAGCUUUAAAAAUAUAUGUAGAAAAGAUGGAAGAAGAAAUCAUCCAUUUAUUCAAAAUCAAUUAAACAAAAAUAAAAGGUAAAAUACUUGAGUUAUAUCAAUUAUACAAUUUCACAAAAAUUUUACAUAGAUUGCAAAAAGGUCCUUGUGGCACUACAGCAGGUUUCAUAAAUUUUUUACAUACAAAUUUUAUGUUUUAAAAUAUGAAUUUUUUUUUGUAUUUAAUACUUUGUUCAACUAUAUGUACAGGUCCUCAACGUGUUGGUUGAUGUUGAAUAUUCAAAGAUCCACAAGCUAUCAAUGACAACGACUCAAAUUAAACUAAUUCGUUAAUACAUAAUAACUGGGUUGUUUCCUAUGCUUGUUAAUGAUGUAGGACGUUGUUUUAGAAUUUUAGAAUUUUAAUUUUUUAGGUCUUCUGAUAUUUUCUUUUUUAAUUAAAGUUAGUGUCUUAGUCUUUUAUUUCUAUUGUAAUUAUGAUUUACUUUCCCUUUUUAAGUUAACUUAUAAAAGUAGAUUUACUCUAUUAUAAAUAAAGAGAUCUUGUUAUCGCUUUUAUAACUUCAACUUCAGUUAUUAAAUUAAAAACCCCUCUUUUAUAAUUUCCUUUGGUAUUAUCUAUUAAAAAUUCCUCUUUUAGAGUUGUUUGAUUAGAGUAUCAUUUAGCCUAUCUUAACACAGUAUUAAAAAUCCCAUUGAGUUUAAUCAUACUUCGAUUUGAGCGUAAUUAAUAGCAUUGAUUUGGUCCAGUACUUGAACGAUAUCUAGUGUUUUGCUUCUGCUACGCCCAAGGAGAAAAUGAAUUUCACCGUGAGAUAAGAGCAUUAAAAGGAAUUCAUAAGAAAUUUAAAUUAAAUUAGCUACGAAGUGAAAAUAAAUAAAUAAAUAAAUGAAUAUGAAGUUGAAAAUAAGUCUCGCCGCCUGGAUCCAAGGCCAAAACAUUCAUGAUAAGUUAGGUAAUUAAGUACAUGUUUUCAAGCUCUUCAUGAAGAAUAAUGUUAUUGAAAUAAAUCACAAAGACUCCCUGCGCAAAUUAUUACAUUGAUUAAAAAAAAAAUGCCAUAUCUUUAACAGGAUCGUGGCUCUCGGACUGUUAAUUACUUUAUUCCCUGCUUGGCCAACAGCUGGCCACUAAACAAAAUCAUAAAAAUUUUAAAUUUAGUCAAAUUGGUCCCACUUGAUGUCAUCCUUUUCAUACAUAAAAUUGUUUAACGUCAAGGUUAAAUAUGAGAAGUUUGGUAGAGACGGUAAAAAGGAAGUCUAUAUAAGGAGGGGAACGAGCUUUGUUUAUAGCACAAGUGAAACUCCACUUUAUUGAACGAUAGGGUCUCAAAUGGGCUGCCUCUUUGCCACUCUUUUGGUAGUAUCAGUCUCUCUUAGCUACUUGCCGUUAGAAGCCUCCGCAAACAAAUACUACUACACAUCUCCUCCCCCUCCCAAGUACAAGUCUCCACCCCCCCCGCCACCGGUUCACAAUUCUCCACCACCACCCCCGGUUUACAUGCCCCCGCCACCUCCUCCACCAGUCUACGUGCCUGCUCCGGCACCAACUCCAAUUUCCUAUUCCCCGCCACCUCCUGUCCCCAAGUCCCCACCACCACCUCACCCUUACGUCUAUGCAUCUCCCCCUCCUCCUUACUACUACUAGAAAGCGGCCAUGAAUAGCUCAUGCUUUUAUGGUAAUCUCAUUUAUUUUUAAAACU
rnacentral:lncRNA from 1 species